rnacentral:lncRNA from 1 species
CAUACUCCACCACUUGUCUUGAAAGUUCCAUAAAAUCUUCUUUUGGUGUUUUUUCCUUAAAAGCAUGCCUGCUGGACAAUUCAAGUGCUUCGUCCUCAGAUAAUAGUUGGACUUCAUACACGUUAUCCCCAACGUGACUGAUUAGCAGGUGCCUGUCUCUUGCUGUCAAAAUAAUUCUGCUACCCUUACCAAACCAUUCUUUCCCUCCAACUAAAUAUUCCAACUGUUCUCGAUGGUUUACAUCAUCAAGAAUGAACAAAACUUUCUUCCAGCGAAGCAUAUUCUUUAAAAUAAUCAUCCCUUCAUGUUCACUAGUUAGGGUCAUCUUUUCACCCAAGAGCUUGCGAAUGACGACUUGCUCUAGCCAUGUUAGUCCAUUUCUCUGAUAAAGUGUUCCGACAUCACCAAGAAAACAAUCAGCUUCAAAUCGAUGACGAUAUCUUUGAUACAGAACACUUGCAAUUUCCGUCUUGCCAAUGCCGCCCAUACCACAAAUCCCGAUUGAGCGAACAUCAUUUGAUUCCAUAUCUAAUAGUGAGGUUACUUUCUCAACCUGAGAUUGCAUACCCACUAAGCUUUCUGGGAACGGUGAAAUAAAUUGAAGCGAUUUAGGAAAUAUGUCAUCAACUAGCUUCUUGAUGCACUCCGCCUCAUCCCUACAUUACAGCAAAAAGAAUCUGAGAGUAAACUAAAUAGAAAAUACAAGAAAGAGUUGUCAUAGACUAAUGUCUCAUACAAACACAUAACAAAACAAAGCGACAAAGGUAAUAUUCUUUUUCCCCGGAAUCACUAUGAUUACUAUAACAUCUUCACAUUGUUAGAUCCAAUUACAUCAUCAAACAAGAACAUAACUCAAGGUUUGCCAAUUAAUGUAAAUUAUAAUUGUAGCUAAGAGUUUGGUGAAAAGAACGAACGCUUACUUAAAAUUUUGUAAAUGAUAUCCUGAUAUUUUCCCUGCCUCCGCAAAUGCAUCCCUCCAUCUCUGAACCUUCUCUAUAUCAUCUCUAUACUUUUUCUCUUGUUUGGAAAAUGACUUAGCGAACGGGGGAUUUUGAUGGCGUACAUCUGAUGGACUCACAUCACAGAAGACUGGAAUCACAAUCUACUCCAAUUCAUUUUUACACUUUAUGAUGUGCGCAAGCUCCUCUAAGCACCAUCUUGAGGAUGCAUAGCUUCUUGAAAAUAUCACGACUGCGAAUCUGGCUUCUUCUAUGGCUUUCAAAAGUUCGCCAGAAAUUGAUUUUCCUGUUUCCAGCCGCUCAUCGUCUUUAAAAGUGCGUAUUCCUUUUUGUUCUAAAGCAUUAUAGAGAUGGCUCACAAAGGUUCUGCUUGUAUCUUCGCCUCUAAAACUCAAAAAGACAUCGUACUUGAAAGUUUUGGAAGAAGAAGCUUGAGACAUUAUUGAAUAAUAUUUACUAAAGACUAAUAGGCAAGUUCUCAACUUUGGAUGUAUUGGUGAAAAAUCUCACAUAAUUGGGUGGCUCUGGUGCUUAAUAAAGAGCAAAAUUUCACCUUUUUCACUAUUCCUAGUCUUCAUGGGAAACUUGUACCUUAUCUUUAUCAUCAUUGUGAGAAAUUAAUGAGUAAUGAAGCAAACAAGAAGACUUGGAUCUUGACUAAAAGGGCAAAGAAAAAACUAAAGUUUGGAAAAAACAGAAGAAAACAUAUGAAAAGGGAACUAAAGUAAUAAAGUAUCGGACUAAAAGUCUAUGCAACAUUAUUGCGAAUAGAUCCAACUUCUCAUGAAAUUCCCAGGCAAUAUCAUUUAUUCCAAAAUACAAACUUGGAUUAUUAUUUUAUCACUAUACUAAAUAAAAAUAUUAUAAAUUAUUAAAUUAAAUACUAAACAAUAAUGUUUUAAAACCUUUUCAAAUAAUAGUUAAUCCUAAUUACCAUGGUGUAUAUUUCAUUAUUAAUAAAAAAUAAACUUCCUAUUACAUUUUACAUUUUAGCUAUAAUACACAUGAUUAAUUGAUUUCCUAUGAGAUGACAAGUUAUAGGUACAUUAUAUGACAUCUCACAAAAUAUGCCAUCAAAUGUUUGUCUUUUUUCCUAACAUGUUGCCUCUAUUGAAUUACUAUAUGAGUUAAAUUGCUAGCUUUUUAUCUUCCUUUAUAACUCCACAUUGAAAAGGUGUUAUAAAGUGUGUACUGUACACACAGUCUAAUCUUAAAUUUCUGUCGGAUGCUGUUUUCAAAGCUUGAACUUGUGACCUUCUGGUCACAUGAUAGCAACUUGACCAGUUAUUCCAAGGCUCCCCUUCAGAAUUGGAAUUGAUAACGAAGUUGUUGAGCAACUUUAUUGGCUCCUAUUGUUACAUAUUUCUCUUUGAACUAACAUGUUCAUUCUCAUCUCAAAUCAUAUUGCAGCAGAUACAAAAAAAAAUAAAAAUUAUAUGAUUACGUUAACUGAUAAGUGAUAAUUGGUUAUUUAAAUUAUUCUGGAUUACUUUUGUACUUAAGAAGAUAACUACAGUUAGAAGUUUAGCCUUAUUGAUAUGAAAUUAUGUACAAAGAUAACAAGGUAUAAUAGAAAUAAGCAGUGUGUAAAAUAGAGAGUACAAGUUGUGUUCUCUACAAUUUUCCUUCACAGGCUAUGGGCUAUUUAUAGCCCAAAUUAAGAACUUUAUCUAAUUUAAUAUUCAAAAAGUGGAGAAAUAGUAAGGCAAUUGCCCACUUAAAAAGGAAACCAAAUGCCUACUGACAUGGCAUCCAUUCACAACAUAAAAAGGAAACCAAAUGUCUAUUAACAUGGCAUCCAUUCAUAACACUCCCCCUUGGAUGACCAUGUAAAAUAAAAUUUCCUAAAUACGCAUUUGAGUGUUGCCUCAUUAAAAAUCUUUACCAAGGAAAACCCAGUGGGAUAAAAACAUUGGUUAAGGAAAAAAGAGUACAACGUGUAUUCUCACUCCCCCUGAUGAAGACCCCGAUUCAAACGGUUCAGUCUUCGCAUCCCAAUCUUGUAUACCAUCUUCUCAAAGGUUGAAGUUGGUAAAGAUUUAGUGAACAUAUCUGCUAGAUUAUCGCUUGAACGAAUUUGUUGAACAUCUAUUUCACCUUUCUUCUCAAGAUUAUGAGCAAAAAAGAAUUUUAGUGAAAUGUGUUUUGUUCUGUCUCUUUUAACGUAACCUCCCUUCAACUGAGCUAUACAUGCAGCAUUAUCUUCAUACAAUGUAGUUGGGAUAUUCUUAUUCACAGAAAAUCCACACAUUUCUUGAAUAUGUUGAGUCAUCGAUCUCAACCAAACACACUCCCGGCUCGCUUCAUGAAUGGCAAUAAUUUCUGCAUGAUUUGAAGAAGCUGCAGCUAAUGUUUGCUUCAUUAAACGCCAUGAUAUAGUUGUGCCACCGUAUGUAAAUAAAUAACACGUCUAAGACCGAGCCUUAUGUGGAUCAGACAAGUUUCCUGCAUCUGCAUAAAUAAUCAUUUCUGACUUGGAUUAAUUUGAAUAAAAUAAUCCUAAGUCAAUGGUUCCCCGAAGAUAUCUGAGUAUAUGCUUGACACCAUUUCAAUGUCUUUUAGUUGGGGAAGAGCUGAAUCUUGCCAAUAAACUUACCGCAAAAUAAAUAUCUGGUCGAGUAUUAUUGGCAAGAUAAAUUAGUGCCCCGAUUGCACUAAGGUAUGGAGUUUCAUCACCAAGAAGCUUUUCAUCAUUUUCUUGAGGUCGAAAUGGAUCAUUGUUUAUAUCAAGCGAUCUCACAACCAUUGGGGUACUCAAUGGAUGUGAUUUAUCCAAGUAAAAUCGCUUUAAAAUCCUUUCAGUGUAUAUUGAUUGAUGGACAAAAAAUACAUUUGUCAAAUGCUCAAUCUGUAGGUCGAGAUAAAAUUUUGUCUUUCCUAGAUCUUUCAUUUCAAAUUCUUUCUUCAAACACUCGACAACUUUUGAAAGUUCUUGGGGAGUGCCAAUGAUAUUCAGGUCAUCAACAUAAACAAUUAUUAUAGCAAAUUCAUAUCCAAACCUUAUUAUAAAAACACAAGGGCAAAUAGGAUUAUUUUUGAACCCUCAUUUUAGCAAAGAUUCGCUAAGACGAUUUUACCACAUCCGCCCUGAUUGUUUCAAUCUAUAUAAGGAUUUUUGAAACUUUAUUGAGCAAGUUUCUUGCGAAUUUUUAUAUGCUUUAGGUACUUUGAAGGCCUCUGGAAUUUUCAUAAAAAUAUCGCUGUCGAAUAAGCCAUACAAAUAGGCCGUGACAACAUCCUGUAGGCGCAUAUCAAACUUUUCAUGAACUGCCAGAUUUAUUAUAUAUCUGAAGGUAAUUCCAUACACCACAGGAGAAUAUAUUUCCGCAUAAUCAAUGCCAGGUCUUUGCGAAAAACCUUGUGCCACAAGUCGUGCUUUAUAUCUUACGACUUCACCUUUUUCAUUUUGCUUUCGCACAAAAAAUAAUUUGUACCCCACUGGCUUGACACCUUCAGGUGUUCGGACUAUUGGUCCAAAAACUUCACGUUUUUCAAGUGAAGUCAAUUCCGCUUGAAUUGCAUCCUUCCAUUUUGGCCAAUCAUUUCUCUGUCUAUAUCAUUGACAGAUUUUGGUUCCAAAUCCUCAUCUUGUUGCAUUAUUUAGUAGCAACAUUGUAAGCAAAAAUAUUGUCAACCACAAUAUUAUUUUGAUUCCACCUAUUUCUCGUCGAGACAUAACUUAUUGAGAUUUCUUUAUUCACAUUAGUUUCAGGUAUUUUGACCUCGUCAGUGGUCUUAUCAUUUGUUAGAUCUUGAGGCUCUUUUUGAGCGACUACCAUUAUAUCAUGAUCAUUUUGAUCAUUUAUUCUUUUCUUUUUCGAGGAGUUUUAUCCUUGGAACCAAUCGGUCUACCACGUUUGAAACGUGGUUUAGACUCAUUUGCAUUGACCACUUGUCCUAUCAGGACAUCAACUCGAACUGGAGCAUUUGCAACUAAAAUAUAAGAUUUAGUAACCCUUGGAAGGUUAGUAAAUGCAUCUGGUAGCUGAUUUGCAAUAUUUUGCAAGUAAACCAUCUUUUGAACCUCUUGCUCACAUUGAUUUGUUCGAGGAUCCAAAUGAGAUAGUGAUAAUGCAUUCCAAUCUAUCUCAUGUUUCAACUACUUAUGUUCUCCCCCUAAUGUUAGGUAUACUGAUUCAUCAAAAUGACAAUCGGCAAAUCUUGUCGUAAACAAAUCUCCUGUCAUAGGUUUCAAAUAUUUUAUAAUGAAAAGUGAUUCAUACCCAACAUAUAUUCCCAACCUUCGGGGUCCCAUUUUUGCGCGUUAUGGUGGAACAAUUGAAACAUAUACCGCACAUCCAAAAAUUCUAAGAUGGGAAAUAUUUGGUUCUUGACCAAAAACCAACUGUAAUGGGGAGAAUUUAUGAUAACUGAUUGGCCUUAUGCGCACAAGUGUUGCUGCAUGCAAAAUAGCAUGUCCCCACAUUGAAACAGGAAGUUUUGUCCUCAUUAACAUCGGUCUAGCUAUCAAUUGAAGAGGUUUGAUCAAUGAUUCUGCUAGACAAUUUUGAGUGUGAACAUGAGCAACCAGAUGUUCAACUUUUAUUCCAGUUGACAUACAAUAAUCAUUAAAGGACUGAGAUGUAAACUCACCAGCAUUAUCAAGACAAAUAGUUUUUAUUGCAUAAUAUGAAAAUUGUGCUCUUAACCUUAUUAUUUGAGCCAACAAUCUCGCAAAAGCCAUAUUGCGCGUUGAUAAUAAGCACACAUGUGACCAUCUUGUAGAUGCAUCUAUCAGGUCCACACGAAGGGUGAAUUGGUCCACAUAUAUCACCCUGUAUACGUUCCAGAAAUGCAGAGGAUUCAAUCCCAACCUUAGCUACUGAUGGUUUAAUAAUCAACUUUCCUUGAGAACAAGCAACACAUGAGUAUUCCUUUGAUUGAUGAAUAUUUUGAUUAUUCAAAGUAUGUCCAUGUGAAUUUUCAAUAAUUCUGCACAUUAUAUUAUAAUCGGGAUGGCCCAACCGAUCAUUCCAAAUGAUAAAAUUAUUACAAUCUGUAAUUUUUUUAUUUACUAUAGUAUGUGAUUCAACCAUACAAAUACUUAUAUGAUACAAUCGAGAAGAAAGUGCAGGUGGUUUUUAAUGCACAAACUUUUCUCCACCUUUUAUUGUAGUAAUAUAAAGAUAUUCAAUCUUUCCUUCAUUUGCAGUCUCAAUGUGAUAGCCAUUUCGGCGAAUAACCUUGAAACUUAACAAGUUUCUUUGAGACUUACUACAAUAUAAUGCAUUAUCAAUGGUCAAUAUUAUUCCCCCGGGUAGUAAUAAGGUCGCUCUUUCAGAACCUUCAAUUAAUGUUGUACUAUCGGAUAUUGUAUUAACAUGGGCCAUUUUCAUAAUCAAAUUAGAGAACUAUUUCUUUUCUCUUGAUAUAGUGUGAGUUGUAGCACUAUCAAGAAGACACACAUCUCCAUUGCUCAUCUUGGAUCUAGUUGAAGAUUGAGAAAAUUUUAUUAUCUUCACAAAAUAAAAUUACAUGAUAAGAAAAGUGAAAUCUCACAAUCUUACAAUAAAACUUAAAUACUUAUUAUUUUAUCUUGAAAUGUAAAAACAACAUAAUGGAAAAAAAUGCUGAAAACAUCAUAAUAAAAUAACAUUAUUUAUCUAAUAACUUGAUCAAGAUUUAGUUUUGGUCUCCAAAGAAGUCUUCAACUUCCAAAUGAGUUGUAUCAUCAAGGCCAUCAAAAUUAUCAUCUUUCAAAACCAAGUUUGCCUCAACAUUGUCAUCAUAUUUUUGUGAAGGUCCUGCCUCAUUAUCAUUUUUGAAAGUCAAAUGUGACUCAAUCCAGGCAUUAGAAGAGGUCCCACCUUCAUUUCUAUUUUUUUUGCAAGAUUCUUGAUAAAGCCUAGCAAAAUGCUUAGGCGCCCGACAUUCAUUCUUCCAGUGGCCUUUCAUACCACAACGAUGACAAUUACCUCUUCAGGGAUUGUUUUGGGGACCCAUUUGGUUCUCCCCUUUUUGGUUACCACCACUACGACGAUUAUUAUAUUGUCCCCUGCCAUUGCCACGUCCACGCAUAUUAUUAUGACCCCGAUCUGGCCAUCUUUCAGGCUGGCCAUGUGCUUGUACCCCAUUUGCUUCCGGUAGUGGAACAGCUUCAGUGGGCCGUGCUUCAUGAUUUUUCAUCAAAAGGGCAUUAUGUUGCACAGCCACUAGAAGGCAUGAGAUCAAUUCAGAAUACUUUUGAAAGCCCUUUUUCACAUUUGAGGCAUGAAAAGUAGUUGGUGUUUUUUUCAUCAUGUCCUCAUCAUUUAUAGUUUUCCCAUAUAAUUUCAAUUGGAAAACAAUCUUGAAUACAACAAAAUUAUAUUCAACAACGGUUUUAAAGUCUUGAAACCACUCAUAACGAGCUCUAGGCAGUACCGUGACCUUUAGGGGUCAUACCUUCCCUUCAAAUCAGUCCACAAUUCAAGUGGAUCUUUCACAGUAAGGUAUUCAACCUUCAGUCCUUCAUCCAGAUGAUGACGAAGGAAAAUCAUAGUCUUGGCCUUGUACUGACUCGACGUUGCAUUAUCCAGAGUAAUAGUAGCACUAAGACCCUUAGCAGCUAGGUGAAUCUCAGCGUCGAGAACCCAUGACAAGUAAUUUUUUUUAGAGAUGUCAAGUGCCACAAACUCAAGUUUCGAUAAGUUUGACAUGAUGGAAACUAUCAUAAAAAUAAUGAAGUUAGACAACAAUAAUAACAUUUUUUUUUUAUGUGUAACUUUAACGUUAAAAUCAAAACUUUGAUAAAAGAAAAAUAACAAACUCAAUAAGACAAGUAAGUUGAUUAUACCCGAAGGAUGGAAAACUUGAAAAAGAGUAGAGUCGUGCUGAUGACGUGAUAUGAAAUUAUGUACGAAGAUAACAAGGUAUAAUAGAAAUAAGCAGUGUGUAAAAUAAAGAGUACAAGUUGUCGUUCUCUACAAUUUUCCUUCACAAGCUAUGGGCUAUUUAUAGCCGAGAAAAGGCAUCGUUUCCACCCCAAACUAUACAAGAAAAGUCGAAGCCACACCUAAACUAUAUUAGUGACCUAUUACACACCUAAACUAUAAAAAGUGGAGCUUUCUACACCUUGUAAAGCAUUAUACCACUUGCAUAUGGUGCGGUGUUUUACACACGUUGCCACGUCAGUGCCAUGUCAGCAUAAUAUGAAAAAAAUAACAAAAAAUAUCAAAAAUCCCCUUAUUAUUUUUAUUUGUCAUCUGCCAUUAUUCUUUCUUCUUCUUCAUCAUUCACUGCCAUUUUUAUUCACCGAUGCCCCCUUAUAUUUGUUUUCCUCUUUCUUCUCUUCUUUGGACUAGUACUAUACUAGUCUUCUCUCCCAUCUUUCUUCUCUAUUUGUUACCUUUUUUAGUAUGCGGUGGAGAGUAGAGUUUGUGUACAACUUCGGGAUCGAUCGGGUGUUGCAACUUGGAACUGAAAGUUUUCAAAGUCAAGCCCUCUUUCAUCAACCAAUUUUUAUUAUUUUCUUUUCAAUUUUACCUUCGGAUCACCAAAUUAAAGAAAAUUCAUCUAGAUUUAUAAUUUUUGAAUGAAAUUGUAAUCAAAUUGUUGGGUAAUUAAGAAAAAUUCAUCUGAAUUUUGUUAGUUUUGCUUGAAAUUGUGAUCAAUUUGUUGAGUAAUUAGAGAAAACCUAUCUGAGUUUUGUAAUUUUUGAUUGGAUAUUUGGAAUUGGAUUUCUGAGUUUUGUGGUGAUGUGUUUGUUGGGAACGAUGAGAAAGAAGAGGUAGUGGUGGUGGUGGUACCAGCACCCUUAUUGGGGUUGGAAAGGGAAGAUUCAAUGGUGAUUAUGUGGGGAUAAUUUGGUGCUUCAUCUUUGGGAUUAGUGGAUAUGGGGAUAUUCGUCACCGUUUGAGUUCACCGAAACACCGGCGAAGUGAAAGCAACAAAUUCAAUUUGAAUUUCGGCAAGCUCGUUUAAGCUUAGUUCAAAAUUAGUGAUUCGAAUUUUGUUUCGAGAUUUCAAAAUUAGUGAAAUUGACAUUGAUUCGGUGGGUUUGGAGUUUGUGGGUGGGGUGAUGAAGAAAAUAUGUUGGUUGGGUGGGCUUGGAGUUUGGGGGUGAGGGGUGACAAAGAAGAUGAUGGUUUUGGGGUGGGGGUGAUGAAGAAGAUGAUGGUUUGGGGGUGGAGGAGGGGAGAUGGAUGUUGGGGGUUGGGUAGAGUGAGUAUUUUUUUUAUUUUUUUUUGCAUUAAUUUUUAAUGUAGACGCGUCUUUUUUAAUUUAAUUAAUUAUGUUUUUUCCACGUCAAAUCUAGGGUGUAAAAAAUAUCACUUUUUUUUAUAGUUUAUGUGUGUAAUAGGACACUAGUAUAGUUUAGGUGUGGCUUCGACUUUUCUUGUAUAGUUUGGGGUGGAAACGAUGUCUUUUCCCUUUAUAGCCCAAAUUAAGAACUUUAUCUAAUUUAAUAUUCAAGAAAUGGAGAAAUAGUAAGGCAAUUGCCCACUUAAAAAGGAAAUCAAAUGCCUACUGACAUGGCAUUCAUUCACAGCCUAAAAAGGAAACCAAAUGCCUAUUGACAUGGCAUCCAUUCACAACACUUAUCUUCUUAUUUAUAUUUCUAAACCAAAUAUUUAUCAAGGAAUAUAUUGUUUCAUGGUAUCAGAGCUAGAUUUUCUUUGCUAUUGAAUCAUGACUUCCAAUACAUUUACUCAAUCAGUUUCUUCUUCUUCACCGGCCUCCCUAACUGAAGCUUCCUCUACAAUUUUCGUCUCUAACGUUAAAAUUUUGGUUUUCACUAUUCUUGACUAUACAAAUAUGCUGCUUCUUUGACUUCCAUGACACUAUGCGGUGAUUGACCUUCUCGUAUUAGGAUAGGAAGCCCAGUCUGAGUCACAACAAACUGUCAGGGAAUUAAUGAUUCCUGUCUACAAAAGGACUCCCACACAACAGAAUGUAUCUAUAGCUACGAAAUCUAAGCUAUGAACUUUAAAAUCGUAACUAUUAUUCAGUAACAACGACAAAUAUUCAAAUUUCAUAGGUAUUUACAAAUUCGUGAACUUUCUUAGCCACGAAAAUCAAAUUGCCAAGGCUAAUCUCUCAUGUCUGCUACAAUUACUAAAAAUCGUGGAAAUAGUUACCUAAAUAGCUAUAAAUUUAUUGUUAUAGUAAAAUUUUGUAGCUGGUGAUAAGUUUUUGCCAUGCGAUAAUACAAUCGUGGUAAUUUGCCAAAUCGCACAGCGUGUCUUCCACCGUAGCCACAUUUGUUACCUAUGUAGAUAAUAAUACAAAGGCAUGCCUGAUACGGAAUAAUCACGGAUAUGGACUUAGGAGAGUACGUGUUGGACUCGAGCCUUGGCAUGUGCAGUUGAAGUGUAAAAGAGGCCCAAAAUGCACCCAAAUCAGCCCAUAAAUUACACUGCCCACUCUUUGAAGGGCCUUUUGGUCAUUUUAACUUAUAUUUUGUAAUAGCUAUAAAAGGAACAUUGUAGGGUUUUAGACUUAGUUUAUUGAUGAUGUUGUAAGUCUUAAUUUAUUGGAAAACACAAGUCCUCUCUUCUCUUUGGAGGCAAAACCGAAACUAGGAUACAACAAUAGGGUGGAUUCUCUUUUGUUGUUGUUUGCUUGGAAACAUUGAUGCUUGGGAGGUGGAUUCCGAUCUUGUGUCUUUGUAAGAGAUAGGUUUAUUGUUGUGUGUAGUGUUAAGGGUCCAAGAUUGUCCAUUCUUGGGUUCUUAAGAUUAUACCUUCAUGUGGUCUAUCUAUCUAUCCUUUUACCUUCUUGUAAUCUUGUUUAUUGUUUGUGUUGUAAUCUUGUGUUCUUGUUGUUAUUGCUAAAUCGGAAUCUUGUGUCUUCUUUUUUAUCAUCUUGUGUUAAUCUUGUUCUUGUUCUUGUUGCUGUUUUGGUGUUAAAAUACACAUUGUAUCUUGUAUUCUUCUUGUUGAUAGCGAAUCCGAGAGUGGUCUCCAUCUUCGUCCUCGGAUCCUUAAGAUUGUGGACUGAUUUGGAGUGUGUUUUGUGCCUUCCGUUGUCAUUCUUGUAUCAAUACCAAUUCAAUAGAAUUUCAAGGUUGAUCAACAAGACAUGUUGUAAACAAUUACAAGCCUUGAUAAAACAUUUACAUGUAUAGGACUUCAACAUAAUUCAGUAAUUUAGACCUUUGUUAUGAGGAGAAUGACAUCUCAGCUAUAUAUUCAUCUCAACUGAAUAGUUGGUUAAACAACAUUCUAAAAUUUAGAUUACGGUGGAUCAAAGAAACUGAAGCAAUCCCAUUACAAUCUCGUACCAUGACAACACUCCGGAUUGAUCUUCCAAAUCCAGAUCUUUUAGCAGUCUGGAAAGGAGAGGGGUGAGGCGGGCGAGAUCAAUAUAGCAAAAUUAGCAAUGCAACAUCCAAUUUCAUUGAAGGAGAACCUUGGAGUGACUGGUAAAGUUGCUGUCAUGUGACCAGGAGGUCACAGGUUCAAGCCUUGGAAACAGACUACGGCAGAAAUGCAAAGUAAGGUUGCGUACAAUACAUCCUUAUGGUGGGACCCUUCUCCGGACCCUUAGCAUAGAGGGAGCUUUAGUGCACCGGGAUAUCCUAUUAACAUCUAAUUUUAUGUAGAACUUUGCAUAACUUAUGUAGAGUUUAAGUAAUCAGAAGUUGAAUACUUGAUGCAAAACGAUGUAUUAAUUAUUCGGAGAUCAUAUCAGUUACGCAGGUUUUAUACGAAAUACAAACGUUGUACAAGUAAUGCAAAUUUUAAUGGACGCUAAAGUUUCUUAUACUUCAAACAAUACGUCCUCCGACAGUUUAAAGAGUACUACUGUCUAGGUAGAUGCAAUCUUUGUUUAGUGGAUUCAAUUAGACUAAAGUAUUUUCUCACACGAAACUCAGGAAAGUGAAAGGCAUACCAAUCAGUGUCUCCGAGAACGAAAGGACAAGUCACCAUUGUGUAUGAUUCCAUGUCUCCAGAUUAAAAUCGCCUCAGUUCACCAAUCUGAGUAUGAAAACAAAUGUCACCAUUAUACAUCUGGAGUCUUGUAAGCUCAAGUUCAUUACUUAAGAGCUAUGUUACUCGGACUCUUCAAAAAUGUAGGCUGGUGCAUGUUGGAGCCUUCAAAAGUAGUGUAUUUUUGAAGGAUCGAACAUGGGUGUGGCAACAUUAUAAGAGAGUCUGAGCAACUUAGCUUAAAAGGGUUGCAAGAGUAUUAAUUAGACCGCCCCCAAAAUGUCAAAAAGGUGAAAAUGAGACUCUGAUCUCAUCAAUCUCUGUUAUCGUUGUUAUCACUACCUUCCCUGACAAAUAAAAGUGCGUACAGAACAAUAUUUGGCAACUUGAGGUACAUGGAAAUAGGUUUCACUAGCGUAUAAAAAGAUGGUUGUAUUUAUUAGUAAGAACAGGAAACAAAUAACGAAAUUCAGAUUGAGAGUAUAACACAACCUCGUGAAAUGCCAUUUGAGAAAGCGAGGCAAAUGUAGCUGAUUUUCUUUACCUUUCACCUAAGCCGUGUCCUGAAAAAAUUGGCGAGUUAUAUUUAGUUAGUUGCAUUAUCUUCUACUUGUUUUUCCGAUAUUUUCACGAUAUUCAAAUGCAAAAACAUUAUCACGAUGAUCUAAAGAAAUUAUCUGUGUAUCUCUUGAAACUACCUUUCAGUUUCCUCCUUUUUGCCAUGUCCCUUGAAAUACCUAUAAAGAUAUGACACCUGGGCUAACUCAACCCCAAAAGCUAGCGAGGAUUGCUCAAGCCCAUAUAAGCAGACCGCCAGUCCAUUCCACAACCAAUGUAGGACUUUCAUCCACUUCAAUGCUCCCCCUCAUGCCCUGGACGGAGAUGGACCUAGUUCUGAUAACAUGUAAAGAUAUGACAUCUGGCCGAACUCAAUCUCCUAGUUCAUGAGGGGAGGAUUGCUCAAGUCCAUGUAACCAAAACCGCCAAUCCAUUCCCCAACCAAUGUGGGACUUUCACCCACUUCAACAAUACCAAAAGCUCAUCAUGUAACUUGAAAGCCUUCACCUGCAGUCAGUGAAGUCAAUUGUCUUAAGAGCUUUGAUCUACUUCAAAUUGUGUGUCAUUUAGGCUAAAAAGGAUAUGACUGUAUAUUUUACCAUUUAUUUUUCACUUUACAUAUGAAAAAUAAGGAAAGUAUGGUCAAAAUUGCUUCCAUUAGAUGUAACUAGAUUUCAAACAAAUGAUGUGUUUUUUUCCUGCUUAAGCUUGAAAUAAAUAGCGUAAAUAAACUAGCAAUGAUCUAGAGCACCCCGUCUCAACUCUCAUAGAAACAAGUGUUUACUUACAUAGCUCCUCAUACUUGGCUUUGAUGAUUGAGUUGUACACAUGAACACAAAAAUUCUCAAGAUAUCAUAUCAAGGCUAACCUUAAUUUUCUCCUUUAGGUAACCCUUCUGUCAUGCAAACUGCUCAUCUGUCGCAGCUGCUACCUUUCUCUUCUUCUUUCUAUUUCUUUUCCUCUUUCUCUUUCUUGGAACAUCGUCCAUUUUCCUCGAUGGGCUGCCACAAACUCUAAUCAGCUCAAUGUUAUGAGAUUUAUGUUCCUCCCUAUCUGUGGCGAUGUCAUACUCAGCAGACGCCCGUGAAAAGUCAAUUUCAGUUGUUACUGCACUAUCUUUGGGCAGAACUGGAAAGAGUUUGAGACCUUGCAUCGCUCGCUGCUUCCUUUUCCAUCUCUUAUUUUUAUUCUCAUACUCGAGGCGAAUUCCCCAACAUAUUUCCUGUCUGAGAUUUGAAGAUACCUCAAAAAGGAAAUAAUCAUUUGGAUUCUUCCCUACUUUAUUGCCAGAAGCGUGCCACAAUGUUUCAGACGGUAUGUAAAUGAAACACAUGACAGACGACUUGAACCAACACUUGAUGACAUAUUUCAAGGAAUGUUUUCGUUCAGGGUCAGAUUUGCAGACUAAUGUAGCUACUAGACUCACACGUGUUGUAUUACAACCGUAACAUAUGGUAAAACCCAUGAAUUUAUCGGUAUACCAAGAUGGAUUCAGAUCAAUUGAGAUCUGAUGUUUAUUUAUAAACUGGUAAUUGAACAACUCUGGACUUCUGACUUCAGGAAAAGAAAUGAGAACAUAUUCCCUAUGGUGAAAGUCACACUGCAAUAAAAUCAUUAUUAAUCGAAAUCAAUUUGACAAGAAUAUUCAACGUUCAUAUAAGUGAAGGAUCGAUAAAAAACCUGGAAGCAUGUCCUGAUUAACUGUUGUAGGGACUUCAACACAUUAACUUGGCUUGUCGAGACAGUUCCACAUUCAGAUUCUUCAUGACCACACCUUGAUACUGAGAGCACAUGCAGCUUAAGACACUUAGUUACUAGAUCUCUGAUGCUCUUCAUGAAUAAAUGAUAAUCUAAAUAUAGAUCCGUUAAAUUUGGAGGUAGUUGUUCUCCUGGCAGUUCUUUAAGAUUCUGACAGAAUUGUACGUCCAGACGCUGAAGUUGUAGGAGUUGUUUGAUGCUUUUGGGUAAACAAGAAAUAUUGCUUCCACUUAAAUUCAACUCAUCCAGAAAGAGCAAAGAACCCAAUUCCUCAGGUAGUCCACCCAAAAUAUUUAGAUUACUGAGAUGGAGAUCCGUCAAGGAGGAUAAACCUGAUAGUUCAUGCAAGAUGAAACUUGACGAAUGCUGGAAAACAUGUGAGAAUCUUAAGGCCGUCAGUUUGCCAAGCUUGGCGAUGGAGGUAGGUGGUUGGGAGAUCGCAGUUUCUGUCGCGUAAAGUAUCUCUAACUCUUGCAUAUCGCCGAUGUUUUCUGGAAGCUUCUCUAGCUUCUUGCAUCCACGGAGACAAAGAAAUUGAAGAUUCAUCAAGUUACAAAGGCUGUUUGGUAGACUUACAAGAUCUUCACAACCAUUCAGAUUGAGGUCAUAGAGGCCGCUCAGAUUCCCAAUGGACGAAGGCAGUUCUCUUAUCCCAGUAGAAUUCAAAGUCAGCUUUUUCAAGCAAUGCAUAGCUCCAUUGAUUUCUGGAAAUGUAUCUAAUUUUGGGCAAUUAUUUAGAUCGAUCAGUUGAAGGGAUUCCAUCUGAAUGUAGCUCGGAAGCUUCUUUAAGUUCUCACAUCUAUAUAUCGCUAACCGAUUGAGAUUCUUUUGAACUCCGAGAGAUGUUGGAAUCUCUACCAAUCCGGAACAUCGAAUUAUGGAAAGAUCUUCUAGUUGUUGUGAUUCAAAGAUGCUGUUUGGCAGCGUUGUAAGUUUAUUGCAACCUUCAAUAUAGAGUGAUUCAAGAUUUCGAAUAGCUUCUGGAAUACUUUGAAGAACUUCACCACCUCUCAAUUUCAUAAAAUUAAGGGCGCUGAGAGAUGGGGGUAAGCUUCUUAUCCAGGGGGAUCCUACACCAAGUUUUGAUAAGCACGGCAUAUCUCCACAGAUUUCUGGAAAUUCUUCUAAGCAUAUGCAUUCGUCAAGUAAGAGAGUCUCAAGAGAUUCCAUGGUAACAAAUUUUGGAAGCUUCUUAAGUUUGACACAACCAUACAAAUUCAAAGAAGUAAGCAUUCUGCAAUGUCCAAUAGAGGGAUGGACCUCUUCCAAAUUCUCGCAGUGCCAUAAAUUUAGUGUCUCCAAGACUGGCAUAUCACCAAAAUUAGGCGUUCUUGUUAACUCGAGGCUGUCCCUGAGAUCCAAAUGCUGCAAGUUGCUCAAUUUCUGUUUUCAUAUAAAAAUUAAUUAAUACCUAAUAGAAAGAGAAGGUUGUUAUGCUCAAUCAAGGCAGUAGCAAAUGUCAAAAACAACUUUGUUAUGUUUUACAUGAUGUAAAUUGUGUAUAUCAAAGCAUUUGAACCAUGGUGUGAUUAAGUCACAUGCAUUAACCUAUCAAAUAUAAACAUUGGAGUUAAGUUUUGGAGAGAAAGAAAUCACUCUACCUUUCGUAUUGGCCAAAGUUCAACAAGACGACUUCUAUAUAAACAAAGCCCAACGAGGUGUGAUGGGUCAAACCCCUCUGGCAAUGAACUUGAAGGAUAGUCCGGCCAUUCAAUCCACCGCAGGCUAGAAGGAAGACAAGUGAUAAUGCUUUCCGAGCAAAUAGUUUGAUUAUCCAAUAUCAGCACCUGUAAUCUUUCCAUCUUCUUGAAUACCUUGCUAUAAUUUACAUGAUCAUCUUCAAAACGAUAACCUUUUGGAAUCCGUAGGCUUUCCACCUUUUUUGUUUUCUGUAAAGAAAGUAACAUAUAUUUAUUUGUCAACAUAACAAACACACAAUACUAAGAGUUUCAUAAAAUUAUCAUUUUUUCAGUUUAUGAUAUUUCUAACCAACUUUCCAGCGAAAAGGUCAUGAACCUCCUUAGGAAGCCAUAUUCUGCUGUUUUUGUACUCUUCUCUCAAUACAUUUUCACCCAUUUCUCUUAUCAAAUUAUGCAUCUUAAAGUUGCAGAAAUAGCUGCUGAUGGAUAAGAGAGAUUUUUCGAUGAGACGGCUUAUUCCUACCAUGUGAAUACCACAACUCUUAAGUAUUUGUUCCACAUAAUAUACUGGUUUAUCGUUGUACAAGCUUGCGAUAUCUAGAAAUAUCCUCAUCUCGUCUUUUUUCAAUCCAUCAAGACCAAUCUUAAGUUUUCCUAGAAUGUCAUCAUUAGGGAUCUCCUUCAGUCUAUCAAUUAUGUCUCUCCAUAGCCCUUUAUUUCGUCCGUAAACAGAAGAAAAUUCAAGUGUCAUCGUCGGAUAAUAGUUGGACUUCAUACACGUUAUCCCCAACAUGACUGAUUAGCAGGUGCCUGUCUCUUGCCGUCAAAAUAAUUCUGCUACCCUUACCAAACCAUUCUUUCCCUCCAACUAAAUAUUCCAACUGUUCUCGAUGGUUCACAUCAUCAAGAAUGAACAAAACUUUCUUCCAGCGAAGCAUAUUCUUUAAAAUAAUCAUCCCUUCAUGUUCACUAGUUAGGGUCAUCUUUUCACCCAAGAGCUUGCGAAUGACGACUUGCGCUAGCCAUGUUAGUCCAUUUCUCUGAUAAAGUGUUCCUACAUCACCAAGAAAACAAUCAGCUUCAAAUCGCUGACGAUAUCUUUGAUACAGAACACUUGCAAGUUCUGUCUUGCCAAUGCCGCCCAUACCCCAAAUCCCAAUCGAGCGAACAUCAUUUGAUUCCAUAUCUAAUAGUGAGGUUACUUUCUCAACCUGAGAUUGCAUACCCACUAAGCUUUCUGGGAACGGUGAAAUGACUUGAAGCGACUUAGGAAAUAUGUCAUCAACUAGCUUCUUGAUGCACUCCGCCUCAUCCCUACAUCACAGCGAAAAGAAUCUGAGAGUAAACUAAAUAGAAAAUACAAGAAAGAGUUGUCAUAGACUAAUGUCUCAUACAAACACAUAACAAAAUAAAGCAACAAAGGUAAUAUUCUUUUUCCCCGGAAUCACUAUGAUUACUAUAACAUCUUCACAUUGUUAGAUCCAAUUACAUCAUCAAACAAGAACAUAACUCAAGGUUUGCCAAUUAAUGUAAAUUAUAAUUGUAGCUAAGAGUUUGGUGAAAAGAACGAACGCUUACUUAAAAUUUUGUAAAUGAUAUCCUGAUAUUUUCCCUGCCUCCGAAAAUGCAUCCAUCCAUCUCUGAACCUUCUCUAUAUCAUCUCUAUACUUUUUCUCGUGUUUGGAAAAUGACUUAGCGAACGGGGGAUUUUGAUGGCGUACAUCUGAUGGACUCACAUCAUAGAAGACUGGAAUUACAAUCUGCUCCAAUUCAUUUUUACACUUUAUGAUGUGCGAAAGCUCCUCUAAGCACCAUCUUGAGGAUGCAUAGCUUCUUGAAAAUAUCACGACUGCGAAUCUGGCUUCUUCUAUGGCUUUCAAAAGUUCGCCAGAAAUUGAUUUUCCUGUUUCCAGACGCUCAUCGUCUUUAAAAGUGCGUAUUCCUUUUUGUUCUAAAGCAUUAUAGAGAUGGCUCACAACGGUUCUGCGUGUAUCUUCGCCUCUAAAACUCAAAAAGACAUCGUACUUGAAAGUUUUGGAAGAAGAAGCUUGAGACAUUAUUGAAUAAUAUUUACAAAAGACUAAUAGGCAAGUUCUCAACUUUGGAUAUAUUGGUGAGAAAACUCACAUAAUUGGGUGGCUCUGGUGCUUAAUAAAGAGAAAAAUUUCACCUUUUUCACUAUUCCUAGUCUUCAUGGGAAACUUGUACCUUAUCUUUAUCAUCAUUGUGAGAAAUUAAUGAGUAAUGAAACAAACAAGAAGACUUGGAUCUUGACUAAAAGGGCAAAGAAAAAACUAAAGUUUGGAAAAAACAGAAGAAAACAUAUGAAAAGGGAACUAAAGUAAUAAAGUAUAGGACUAAAAGUCUAUGCAACAUUAUUGCGAAUGGAUCCAACUUCUCAUGAAAUUCCCAGGCAAUAUCAUUCAUUCUUCACUUCCUCUUCCUUUUACAUAACAGUGAGAGUUGAAUCUAAAAUGACAAAGUUAUUGCUUUCCUACUUAAAAAAGUUAACUUUCUUACUUCGUUGUGGCAAAAUAUACAGUAUUAAUACAUAAAGCCAUCAUACUUCUAAUUUGGUUGUUAUAGUGCUUAACAAAGGCUAAAGGCUUUAAACUUUUUCACUAUUACUAGUCUUUACUAUGGGAAACUUGUUAUCAUCUUCCUAAUUUAUGACACAAAAUUGUACCUUACCUCUUUAAGCUUAUUUCUUUUCAUUUGUUUUAGCUUUGUUGGAUAGAGUUACUAGUACCGGUGCACCCAAACGUAUAGCUAGUGGUCAAUGAAGUAGGUUGAUGACAUUAUAUCUCAAGUUCAAAUUCUGCCCCAGUCGAGACAAAAAAACAAAAAUACUAGGUGAUUCUUCUCAUUUGUUUUAGUUUUGGCGGAUAGAGUUACCUGAUAUAUCUGUUGCUGGUGGUAUUUGACAGGUAUACCUGGAUUUAGUCGAGGUGAGCAAAAGCUGACCUGGACACUAUCAAAAAAGAAGAAAACUUACUAGUAUUGUUGCUGCCUGACAGGUGGGAGGUGGCAGGUAUUGAAAUUAGUCGAGGUAUGCGCGAGAACUAUUAAAAUGGGAGCCUUGAUAACAGCACCAUUAACUGCCAUAACCAGCAUUAGCCCAAUGCAGGACCAAACAAAAAUAUAUCAGGUACUAUACUCUUGAAUAUUUCCGAAUGCUUUACGGUUUUGUGGAUACUGGUUUUGAAUUUUCUUAGCAGAGAAGUUAGUAUAACCAACAAACUUUGUUUAUCUAUGAAUAUCUUGCUAUGCCUCCAGAUUGGCUGAGAAAAUGUACUGUUACUGAACAUUUGCUCAAUGUAGCAUAAAGGAGAGCAACUCCCAGAGUUGUCAUUGCCACUUCUUUUCAGACGCAACAUAGGAUGAUAUAGUCGAGAGUUAUUACCUCUACUGUACAGAGAAUUCCACGAAAGCACCUGCAGAAUGUCAAUAGGUCCCAUGUUAAUAAUGUAAGAUCUCUGAGGAAGUUAAACAAAAGUUUUACGGAUUAGGCAUAGUAUUAAGCUUGUGCUAUAAGAAUUCACAGCUAAAAUCUCAGUUCCUUUCAACGUAAAUCAGUGGGGUUAUUGACGAAAUCUACUCUACUAUCUAUACCGUGUACAUUUUGCAUUUUUGCUCCAAAAAGACAAAAGAAAAAAACAAGUAGCUUUUAGUUUCGCGAUGCUUUACUUCUUGUUUUCAGAAUGAACAUGUUGAUUUUGUGCCUUCCCAAUGGUCCACCAUAUACAAGCGGGAAUGAUACUUCAUAAUAUUUUCUUGGCCUUUCCAACUCCUUUAAAUUAAUUAAAGGAAAAAAGGUAAUUUGCCCCUCUACUAUUUGAAAUUGAGCAACUUUGGCCUCAAAGAAUUUAGACACUUGGAGUCCACCAAUUUCAACUGGAGCUUCAUUAACGAAAAGGGCGAAAUACAUCUUUGCUAACAACAAGAGUACGAAUGGAUCAAAAGUGUAGCGGAGGCAAAAUUGAGCUAUUUUAAGUAGUGGGGGGGGGCGAAUUCAGACCUCUUGAUAUUGUACACCAUUCAGCCGAAAAAAUUAUUUAAUCAGGGGUCAGCUUGUGCAGACCUUUAUUGUUCCUCCAAACUUAGAUAGAUGUACAUAAAUCACUAGUUUUUCGCCUCUGCUAUAUUCAUUUUACACUUCCAAACUUUUCUAAUCAAACUAAAAUUAUCAAAUUAAUUAAUAUCUUCUUCUACUACCAUUCAUCUUGAGCCGAGGGUGUAUCUGAAACAGCCUUCUACCUCUAAGGUAGGAGUAUGGUCUGCAUACACUCUACCCGCCCCAGAAUCGAACGUUGUGGAACUACACUGGAUAUGUAUUGCCUUCUACUACCAUAUAUACUACACAAAUCAAACUAGUAUCUUAAGGGGGUGUAUGGAAAUGAUAUUUUUUUUACCUUUUCCGGAGUUGAACUUUGAAAAACACGUUUAGCCAUAAAUUUUCAGUAUAAUUUUGGAAAACAUCAAAAAUUUGUUAUCACUUUUUUGUUCCCUUCAAACUACUCAUAAAAAUUCAUAAACAACUCCAAUUUGUAUUCAUGGCCAAAUACAAAGUUGAAUUCCGGGAUUUUCAGGAUUUUGGAAAACACCAAAAAGUAGUUGUAGACAUCAAAAUUUUGUGGAUUCUACAAGAAGAAUCCAAUUUCUGUUAGAGUUUUAAACCUAACUUGCUGGCUACUCUACUAUAAACCCUAAAUUAAGCCUAUGCUUAUUCUCUUAAAGAGGCAUUUCUAAUAUCCCACACAAUCAUUGAAAUAUUCAUAAAAAGAUCAUCCUACAUUCGAGAAAAAUCUACUAACGACCCUCAGAUUAUGGAGAAAAUGCAAAUUCAAAAAAUACGCUACAAACGACCCUUGAAUUACGGAGAAAAUUCGAUAAAUAUGCUACUAACGACUCUCGAAUUACGGAGAAAAAUCGAGAAAUACGCUACUAACAGACCCUCGAAUUACGAAAAAGAUUCGAGAAAUAUGCUACUAACGAUGCUCAACUUAUGGAGAAAAUACGCAAUUAAUGAGCCUCGAAUUACGGAGAAAAAUAAGAGAGAAAAUCAAGGGAAUUGUACCCACAUUUUUUAUGAAUUUUGUUUGUUGUUGAAAUUUGUUUUCCGUAUAUCAAGGGAGUAACCGAAAUACGCUACUAACGAAACUCGAAUUACUGACAAAAUCUCAAGGGAGAAACAGAACAAAAUUUCUUUUCCAUAAAUUAAAUUAUGUUGCAAACAGUUGUGGUUUCAACUUUAGUCCCACCAAAUUAAUCACGAAAAUUCAAAAACAACUCCAAUUCAUAUUUAUGGUUAAAUUUUACGAUACCUUAAAAGCAAUAGUGGAGUUUCUUCUAGUGAUGGUCAAUGAAGGAGAAGGAGAACUUCCUACAACAGCUUCCAUUACAAUGGCUUCCUAAUUUUCAGCCACAAAAAUAUUCCUAAUUUGCUUUCAAUUUUGUUUAUUAUAUUAUCCUUUUGCUUUUGGCGCGUAGUUUUUACUUUUUUUCUUUUCUUCUUUAUCUAUUCCCUUAUCCUAGUGGUUUUUUUUUUUUCUAUAUGAAAAUCAUCAUAGUUUGAUACGAGGACUAAGGAUAAUUAAUUUCAGAAUUAAUUUGUAAGAUAAGCUUAUAUCAUAUUUAAUUGAGAUAAAAUAUAUGAAAUAACUCAUUUUGAGAUUAGUUAUUUUAAAAUUAUAAUAUUUUUUAUAUCCUUCUCUAAGGUGGGAUUAAUAAUAUCAGGAUAGCUAAUCUCGAGAUUGAUAAUUUUUGAAUAACUUAUUUUCUAAUCAAACGACUCCUCAGUGGUAUAGAUGAAAUUUCAAGAACAUUAUAUGUAAUUUUUAAAUAUAUACUACCUCCGUUUUAAAAAUAAUAUCUUGCUUUAAUUUAAUACUCUCUCCGUCUCAAAUUACUCAUUCCAAAUUAAGAUGACACAUUGAUUAAAAAAAAUAAUUAAUAACAUGAUUAGUUUACUAUAGUACCCCAAUUAAAUAAUAUCUACAUUUUAAUUUAAAAAAAAAAUAAUUAAUGCAAAGGGUAAAACAUGAAAAAAAAAAUGGCAUAAUACAUAAAUAUGAUCAUAAAGUGGAAAUCAAAUUUUAACUUUGACCUUAAACUUUGAUAGUGCACAAAUAGGACCUUUAACUAUAUAAGCCUGAACAAAUAUGACCUCCGAUUUUUCAACCCCCAUGCGUGAGUUUCACUCGCGCCUACGUGGAAAGCUCAUCCAAUCACACAGUGCCACAUCGUUAAAAAGGCUGAAUUGGAGGAAGGUUAUAUUUGUGCAGCUUUUAAUAGUUAAAGGUCAUAUUUGUGCAUAAUCAAAGUUUUACUUUUUGUGUUAAAACGACGUCGUUUUUUUUAUUAUUAUUAUUAUUACUAAAAAUUACACAAAUACACAACUUAUGUUUUUAAUAUUACAAAAAAUCUCAACUCCCUAAAUAUAUUACAAAAAUCCCAACAUAUACGCAGAAUGUUAUGUAUAUGUCGGCUAUGUUAUGUUUAUUAAUAGGGAGAGAGAGUAAAAUAUUUUAAAAAAUAGGAGAGAGUACAAUUAUUUUUAAAAAAUUGGUAUUUAUGUUAUUUAUACUUAAUAAAUAACCCAUGUAUGUUUCAUUGUCGAAACAUGGGAAUUUGAUCCAACGGAUCUUGAGAAUCCGUUCCUAUAUAUCUCAAACUUAAUAUUUAUUCCAGGGAAAGAACAAAAAUAACAUUUCACUUUUAAAUAAUUUCAUCAUAAUAAUCACUUAAAACUAGUUACCUACAUCAGCUUCGAUAUAGGCUUCGUCUCCUUCUUCAUUUUUUCUUAAAGUUUUUAUUGUUUAAUUUUUUUCAAAAUGUUGUCUAUUUUUCUAAUGAAAAAAGUUAUUCAAUUUGGUAUAGGAACUGUGUAUAAGCGUUGUAUGAAUUUGAUAUAAGAAUUGUAUAUGCAUGCAUAGUUUUCGUCUCUUUUGAAAAGUCUAUCAAUGUGGUAUAAGUGUUGUAGCAAUUUGGUGUAAAAAUUGUAUAUGCAGAAAAAGGACAAAGUAGCCCAAUAACUAUUACGGAAAAGGGCCUAAAAUGCCCUUUAACUAUGCAAAAUGGUACAAAAAUGUCCUUCGUCUACCUAUUGAGAAUGUCCUUUCCGUCAACCUAUUAGUCCUAAAAUACCCUUCACACUUAUCUGUUGGGCCUAAAAUGUUCUUCUGACCCACCUAAUUAAUAAAUCUUCAAUAUUGCUCUUUUUCCACAAUGACAAAAGAAAUUAGAUGUCAUUUUCAUCUUUGAGCCAAAAAUAAUGAAAAAAUAAUAGUGAAAAGUCAUUUAAAAGUCAUAUUUGUGCAGGUUUGAAUAGUUAAAGGUCAUAUUUGUGCACUGUCAAAGUUUAAGGUCAUAUUUAUGUAUUAUGCCCUUAGAUUUUAAGCUGGACGCGCCUAGUUUUGCGUGUUGAACACUCGUUUUGCCACGUAGGAUCGGAGGUCAUAUUUGUGCAGUUUUGAAUAGUUAAAGGUCAUAUUUGUGCACUGUCAAAGUUUAAGGUCAAAGUUAAAAUUUGAUGUCAAGUUUAGGAUCAUAUUUAUAUAUUAUGAAAAAAAAUAAAAAAAAAUCUGUCUCUUCUUGAUUAAUGAAAAAAGACAAGUAAAAUAAGAAAUCAAAUUAAGAAAUUUUGGACAAAGAGAGUAUGGUGUAUAAGAAAAAGCAGAAGAUUUUUGAAUAUUAUGAUGUUAUAUUAAAAUUAUGUCAAAUAUAUCAAAAUACUCUGUAAUUUUGUAUAUCAAAAUGCUCUUUAAUUUUGUAGUUUCAAAUAUGCCAUGUAGAAAGUUAAAUUAAAAUAUUGAUGAAAAAAGAAAAAAAUAAUUCUUUUUCAAACUGACUUUUUAAAACAAAGGGAGUAACAAAUUAAAAAAAUGUACAAAGAAAAAAAAAUUGUUUUUCAAUUCUUAAAUAUUUAUCAUAUUUUUUACUAGAAAUAGAUAUUUCAUAGUAAUGCUUUUUAUUAUUUUAGAAAACCAACACAUAUUAGGACAUUUGAGGUUAGCUUUGUCAUUUAACAUUAUUAGAAAAUUUGAUUGUCACAAGGGUAAAUUGAUUAUUUAAGCUACUACCUGUCUACCUCCGUUUUAAAAAAAUGACUUACUUUAUUUUUUAGUUCGUUUUAAAAAGAAUAAUUUUUUUAGGUAAUAUUUCAAUUUUAAUUUUUCAUAUGAUAUGUUUGACCACAAAAUUAAAGAAUAUUGUGAUAUAUUUGACAAAAUUUUAAUUUAAGAUCACAAGAAUAAAAAAAAAUUCUUUAAUUUUAUCAAAUUUCAUGUCAAGCUAAAACAAAUCAUUGUUUUAGAAAUAGAGGAAAUAUUUUACUGCUUUUACUACUCUAUCUGUUCAAUAAUACUUGUCCAAUAUACUAAAAAUAAAUGUCCAAAAUUAAUUGAUUUGUGAAGCACAUUUUAUCUCCAAACAUCAUAUUCAUAUAUUAUACUAAAAGUGAGAAGCUUCAACGUGCAAAGUUGGAUUAUCAUUUUAUCCUUAUACUAAAUAAAAAUGUUAUAAAUUAUUAAAUUAAAUAUUAAACAAUAAUGAAACCUUUUCAAAUAAUAGUUAAUCAUAAUUACCAUGGUGUAUAUUUCAUUAUUGGAAAAAUAAACUUCCUAUUACAUUUUACAUUAUAGCUAUACACAUGAUUAAUUGAUUUCCUAUUAAAUGACAAGUUAGGGCUGUCAAGUGGGCUGGACCGGGCCAAUCCAGAACCGACCCGUUAAAAUUAAUUGGAUUGUGGGCUGGGCGGCGUCCUGGUUGAGAUUAAGUGAGCUGGGCCGGGCUCAACGGUAAAUUUUUUAAGAACAAUCCUAACUCGGCCCACUUAACCCAACCCGGUCAAACCCACCUAAACCCGGUUAAAAAUUCGAUCAAACCCGGUCAAAAAUUAAAAAAAAAAACUUUUUUUCAAUAUACACUAUAUAUACCCACCUAUAUACAUUUUAAAUACGUUAAACAAUAUAUAUACACUAUAUAUAUAGUAUAUACUACAUUAGAAUUUAAAAAAUAUAUACACAUAUACACAAUUACACAUAUAUACGCACCAUUCAAUAUAUACGACUAUACGUACUACUUUAAAUAAAACAUACUCUACAAAAUAUAUUGAUACAAGACAGACCAAGAACACAAGAAAACAAACACCAAAACGAUCCACUAGUUCAAGGAACUAUGGACCUCUUUUGGUGACCCCUCUCGGAUUCAAGAACACAACAAGAAAAUCAUGUAAUGAGAUGUUUAACACUUAAUUUCCAGCAGUAAACCAAACUAUAUCAUGACAAUAAAAAUGAAGGACAACAAUGUUACAACCACACUAACCAAACUGCUUGAACAACAACAACACAAAUUACAAGAUUAGGACAAGAAACAAAGAUAGAUAGUUAGACAAGUGUUGAUGUAGUCUUAACAACCCAAGAGCAUAUUCACUCUUGGACCUUUAACACUUCAUACAACAAACACCUAACUCUUACAAUGACACAAGAGGGGCAUCCACCUCUCAAAGCACUAAAGUCUCAAGCUUUACAACACACAAGAGAAUCCACCCUUAUGCCAUGUCCUAAUUUCAGUUUUGAGAACUCUCUCUCACAAGAGUAGUGUCUUCAAUAGCAAGCAUAAACUAAGAAAAUAAACCCUACAAGGUUCUAUUUAUACAACAUUACAAAUAAUAGAGAAAUGACAAAAGAGCCCUUUAAUGACCAGUCUUAAAAAAUACUCAAAAGUGUCAUGAUCAUGAUCAUACUUGUAUCAUAUAUAUACUACAAUAUAUAUAAGUAUAUAUGGAGAGAGUUAUAUACUAAUUUAUAAAAUAUAUAUACAUGUAUACAUUAAAUAUACACGUCUAUAGAAGAUAUAUAUACAAAUAUACGCAUCAUUCAAUAUAUAUGUACUACUUUAAGUAAAACAUAUACUACAAUAUAUGCAUAUACUACAAUAUAUAUAUAUAUAGUUAUAUACUAAUUUAUAAAACACUAGUUUAGGUGUACGCGCCUCGCGCGUGUACCUCACUUUAUUGAGUUCAAAUGCUACACUAAAUAGGAUAUUUGGCUAAAUAACAAAGAUAAAUACAAUAAUUAAAUUUAAUAUCUUUUGAAUAAUUUAUUUAAUUAAACCUAAUCUUUACCAAAAAAAAUUGUCAAAGACGGUCAACAUUCAUCUACUACCUGUAAACUGUAGACAUCAAAACAAUAUAAUUACACAAAAAAAAANNNNNNNNNNNNNNNNNNNNNNNNNNNNNNNNNNNNNNNNNNNNNNNNNNNNNNNNNNNNNNNNNNNNNNNNNNNNNNNNNNNNNNNNNNNNNNNNNNNNNNNNNNNNNNNNNNNNNNNNNNNNNNNNNNNNNNNNNNNNNNNNNNNNNNNNNNNNNNNNNNNNNNNNNNNNNNNNNNNNNNNNNNNNNNNNNNNNNNNNNNNNNNNNNNNNNNNNNNNNNNNNNNNNNNNNNNNNNNNNNNNNNNNNNNNNNNNNNNNNNNNNNNNNNNNNNNNNNNNNNNNNNNNNNNNNNNNNNNNNNNNNNNNNNNNNNNNNNNNNNNNNNNNNNNNNUAUAUAUAGUUAUAUACUAAUUUAUAAAACAUAUUACACGUAUACGUUAAAUAUAUAUUACUUUAGAAGAUAUAUACACACAUAUACGUACCAUUCAAUAUAUGUACUACUCUAAAUAAAAUAGACUACAAUAUAUAUACGCUACAAUAUAUACACACACAUUAUAUAUAGUUAUAUACUAAUUUAUAAAACAUAUACACAUGUAUACGUUAAAUAUAUACGUCUAUAGAAGAUAUAUACACAUAUAUACGUACCAUUUAAUUUAUAUGUGCUACUUUAAAUAAAAUAUACUACAGUAUAUAUAUAGUACAAUAUAUAAUUAUAUAUAUAGUUAUAUAUUAAUUUAUAAAACAUAUACACAUGUAUCUGUAAUCUAUAAUCUAUAAUCUAUAUCUAUAAUCUAUAAUAUAUUAAAAGUGUGAAAACCCUUAGAAAAGUGAUUUGAACUUUUUGUCCUUCAUUAAAAAAACUUCAUAAUAGACAAAAUUAUUUUUUCACCUAUUUCCUUUAAUUAUUAUCUAAUUAUUAAAAAUUUAAAGAAUCCUAAAAACAUCAAAAAGGCAAGAUAUAUGGUAAAUUUAAAAUAUUACUCAACUUGAGUUCCUUUCAAAGUCAUAUUAAUUAAUCGUACUUUAAAAAUAUUUAUUUUUGGAGUUUAUGGACUUUCUAAUCUAGGAAAGUUUUAAACAAAAUUUUGACUUUUUAAUAAAUAUUAAUGAUCACGUUUUUUUUUUUCCUAAGUUUAAGAGUUUUUCCUUUUUAUUAGGAUUUGCUCAAAUUUUCUACCAUAAUUAAAGUUUUUUUCUUAUGGAAAAUAUUUUUUUUGAAAAUAAUUUUUUCAUAUUUGAUUAAUCCUUGUUUGGAGGAAAAAAAAUUUGGAUUUCUAUAAAUUGAGGAUUCUUUGUUGCUACAAAUAAUACAAUAGCAUCCACAAGUAAAAAAAUCUGUUUUGGAAGGAUUAUUCUCUCUAUGUUUUAUGUUUGUAAUAUUAGUUUUUGAUAUGUGUUGGUCACUUGAGAAGAUUGAAGGAAAGAUGUCUUUUAAGUCUUGAGUGAAGGAAUGGUGACAUUGACCAACAGAUAGGGUCAAACAUCAUUAGAAAACUUGAUUAAGUUAAUUGUGGACUUGAUUAAUAUUUUUAAAACUUUCUAAUCUUUUCAAAAAUACAAAUCAACCCAACUCACACCCCUCUUCAAUCCUAAUCAACCACUCUCUCUUCCAGCUUCUCCCAACCAACAGUUCUGCAAAAUUUCUGCCUUCAACCUCUGGCGACAAAUAGUCGGGAGAGUUCCUUUUCAACUUUCAACCGUCAAUCGACGUGAAUACUUCUCCGGUGACAAUAAUUUUGAGUUCUUCGUCCUCCUAUUUUCUUUUUCAUACGUAAAAAAUUAUGAAAAAACAGAGGAACUUGAGCCAACUACUCUUCUGGUAUUGAAAUGUGGACUGAAAAAAUUCUAAUUUCUGGCAUUUCUGCAUUUUUUCUUCUCUUUGUCGUACUGUUGAUUUGAAUUUAUUGGUGAUUUUUGGUCACAGUUGAUGUUCUUAGUAUGUAUGUGUGUGUGAUAUGUUGGUGUUGCUGGGUUGAUUUGUUGUUUGUCUUGGUAGAAAUGGUAUUGCAACAGUUGAAACAUCUGAUGUAAUAGAUGAAACAUAUGAUGCAACAAAUGAAAAUCUGAUGCAACAUAUUAAAAAUCUGAUGCAACAGGUAAACAAUCUAACAGACCAUUCAUCUGUUGCGACAGACGACUUUUCUAUUUGGAAGAAAUCUAAACAAUAAUGAUCCAACAGAUAACUGAUUAGUGAUCUAUUUUUAUUCUUUCCAACGGUUUACUGUUCAUUUUACAACAGAUUAGGACUGUUUUUAUUCUUUCCAAUGAUUUACUCAUACAGGUCGGUUAUCUGUUGCAACAGAUAACAUACCUGGUGCAACAGAUUAGUGAUCUAUUUUUAUUCUUUUCAAUAAUUUACUCAUCCAUUGCAACAGAUUGGUUAUAUAUUGCAACAGAUAAAAUACCUAGUGCAACAGAUUAGUAAUCUAUUUUAAUUGUUUCCAAGGGAUUACUCAUCCAUUGCAACGGGUCAGUUAUGUGUUGCAUCAGAUAAAAUAUCAGGUGCAACAGAUAGUGUUGUUUUUAUGGUUCCCACGUAUUACUCAUCCAUUGCAACAGGUCAUUUAUAUGUUACAACAGAUAACAUACCCGGUGCAACAAAUUAGUUGUUUGUUAGAACUGUUAUAUUACUGUUACGCAUUAAUCAAUUAUAAUCUAUGUUAUAUUACUGUUAAUUUAAGAUAACAUGGCUCUUAAAAUAAAAGAAAUUGAAUCAAGUCUAAGUAAAGGAACAAGUGCAGCAGCUCAGCUAUAUCCACCACUCUAUGAGCUUACUUUACAAGCGUUAUCUCAAUCAAGAGCAGAAGAUAAUGAACACGGGGAGAAGGAAUAUUUCAAAAGAGAUGAUCCAAAUGCUAAUAACCCUUUCGUUGAAGAGUUGGUCAAAAACUUUAGCAUUGAUCGUUACCCUAUGAGAAUGUAGUGCGAUGGUGCCACAGAUUUAACGGGUGAUCUCGUGGUUAAGUUAGUCAUGGGAAAAUCUUUUGACACCUUCAGAAAAAUACUUCGAUAACAAAAAUUAGAUUCUUAUUUCAGGGAAAGCUGCUUUGGGAAAUAUCUUGAUUUGUCGGAGGACAACAAUGCUCGUUUCCAGAUGAAAAUCAUAUAUGAUCUUCUCAAGCGCAGAUUUAUGUAUGAAAAUAAAGAUAAGAUGGAGGAGGUGUAGAUAAAUUACCGUGGCAUGCCUAUUUGUUUUGGUUGGGAGGAGUUUGCCAUAGUUACCAGACUAAAAUGUUAUUCACCUUCUCCUUCUCAAGUUAUACCUACUCUUACCCAAAAAAGCACCCCGCACACCCAAAAAAGGAAAAGGCAAGUCGAGUGAUCGUGAUGACCUGGUGUCCAUUGUUGGUCCAAGCUUCAAAAACAAAAAUCUGAUUGAAGCGUUGAAAGGUAAAGGACUUUCAAAGAAGCACAAACAAUCAUUGUGCUUGGUUUGGUUUGUAUAUAAUGUUAUUUGGGCGAGAGACGUUAACAACAACAUAAGCCUCGGUUUAAUAAAUCUCUCCGAGGAUCUUAAGGCAUUUAAAAACUAUCGUUAGGGUUAUGAAAGCUUCAAAAUGACUGUCAAAUAUUUGUUGACUCCGUUAACGCCAAAAAUAGUCAACUUAUAUGGUUUUCUAUGGGCCUUCAUGGUAAAUAUUUCUUUUAUCAUGAUAUGAUUCAUCAUUUUUUUUAUUCAAUAAUGCUUUUGAUUUAUUGGCGUUAUGUUAUAGGCUUGGUCAUUUGAAGCCAUUUCUUAUUUGAGACAAUAAGUGAACUACAAGGAAGAAGUUUUCUGUCCAAGAAUUCUGAGAUAGUUGUCGACCAAAAUCAAUAAAAAUGCAAAAUUUCUUGAUCUUUUCAACCCCCCCAAGGAAGUAGGAAGUCCAAUUCUAAUCAAAUUUUUAUUUUAAUUAAUGAUUAAAUGAUUUCAUCGUCAUUCUUAAUAUAUGUACCGAUUUAUUUUAGAUUGUCCAUUCGUGGCUUGUUCCGACCAACCGAGAGUUGAACAUGACAUGUUUUCUUACUUUAUGGUCUGUUCAAACUUUAUCGGACCCUAAGGUAGUUGAUGGAAUAAAAAUGAAAUUGUUUAGAGCAACAACCAUCACAAGAAAAACAAUUUUGGAGGGUGGGGCUAAUGAUGCUCCUUUUACAGUUUCUGAAACAACAAGCCAUUAUGAUUAUGAUCAUAAUGGUUGUGUAAAUUUUUCUCUAGCUUUUGCCACAUCUAGAGAAUGUUCUUCAUGCAAACAUCAAGACUUCAAGGAGAAACACGAUGAAGUGAUUAAUGCUAUUAAUGCACUAACUACUUCUGUAAAGAAAAUGACAUCUAAGAGCGGAGUCAUUCCAUCAAAGAGGAUUUCAUAUCCUCUUCAUGCAAAUGUCAAGACUGCAAGGCGAAACACGAUGGAGUGAUUAAUGCUAUUAAUGCACUAACUGCUUCUAUAAAGAAAAUGACAUCUAAGAAGGGUGUCAUUCCAUCAAAGAGGAUUUCAUAUCCAAACACUCCACUGGAGAUCAAGGUGGCUAAGAGGAGAAGGAAAGACAUUUCCAAGGCAUCAUCAAUCAUAAAAAAAGCAAGAUUGUAACACCUCUGUCUUUGUCUUGCACCGAUGUUCAGUGUGCAAGGACCACAAAAGAGCAGCAUGAGCUGAAGAAGGUGAAUGUACAUCAUCUAUUCCCAAAAACAAAUAAGCACAUAUCUGUUUUAAUAGAUGAUAUAUCUGCUGAAAAUUAUCAAACAGAUGUAUACAUCUGUUGCAACUGUUGUCUAAGCUGUUGUAUCAGAUUCGUUAUCAAUUUCAAUGGAUGAGUCUUAUGUUGCAACAGAUGGAUUAUUUGUUUGAAAUUAUCGUACUGCUCUGAUUUACCUAUUUGAAUUUGUACCGACAUAUAAUCCAUCUGAUGCAACAUAAGAAUCAUCUAUUACAACAGAUGGAAAAUCUGUUGUAUAUCUCUCUUUGCAUUGACAAUUCUGGCAUUCUAGGUGGAUGUCACAGCUACUGCCGAAGAGCAUAAUAUGACAGUUGAUAAUCCAUCAACUGCUUCCAAAGAUGAAGAAAAAGUGGAGCCUGCCAGUUUGGGAGAACAGAAGAAUUACCCGUUUGAAGGGUUCUACAUCUCGGACGAGGCUUAAAAAAACUAAUACAGUUGAUCAACGACUAUUCUGAAUAGAUUAUCGAUGGGUUGUUAAAGCUGAUCAAUGACAUUCAGAAUGGAUUGCCGAUGGACUGUUAAAGCAUCAUGCCGGCAGGUACAUAAAUCAAUUUUAUGGAUAUUGGUUUAUACAAUUCUUGUUGUAAGAACCUGACAUUAAUACAUAUAAAUUAUCAUGUAGAAAAUAAAAUAACGAGCGCUAGAAAGUGAACGAAUCGAGUCUUGGUUUUGAUAUGUUCGACUUUGUUGUUGCACAUCCCAAAAUGAAGAAUGCCUGCCCCCGCUAGCUAACAUAGAAAGAGAUUCCUUGGUUCUAUUUGAUGUCACAACCCCAAACUUGUUGGAAUAAUGAGGUUUAAAGGCCAUACAUAUUACUAUUAAUUAAUACUUUAUUUAAUUGCAUCUGCAUAUUGAUUUUUUCGUUACGUAAUCCAAAAUGUUUGAUAAUAUGUGCAGCACAUCGAUGUCAUUUUUUACUACCUCCGAAAGAAAGGCCAAGUGCAAACACAAGAACAAUACAGAUACACAACAGACAAUUAUUUGUACAAAGUUUACAUCAAUAAUGCCUACGAUAGGUAUUGUCAACAGCAGCCGAAAGUUUCUCAAAACGAGGAAUGCUUAAUCAACAUCAUCAAAGAUUUUAACAUUCCGGCUGGCUUACCUUGGCAUUUGGUCAACUAAGUGUACAUCCCAAUCAAUUGUGGUGAUGAAUUCCAUUGGGUGUUGGCUGUCGUCGUUCUAAAAGAGAGGCGCAUCCUAGUUUAUAACUCGAUGUCGCGAAAGAGAUAUUUUGGGCCAUCGUCUGAGAUACAAAAGUUGGCCAAAAGAUUGCCUACUUACCUUGAUAUGAGUGGCUUUUUGGAUCAAAAGGUUCGUACUGAUUGGUCGACGAUUGAAGCAUAUCGGGAUAAAAUGGCUAAUCCAUUUGAUGUACAAUAUAUUGACGGAAUUGCUCAACAAACCACUGGGAUCCUUUAAGUUUAAGUGUCAUGAUUUAGUUCAUUUCACAAAUUUCACAACACUUGCAUGAACUGCAAGAUAUGGAUUAUCUAUUUUUUUAUCAUGCAGGGAUUGCGGUCCUUUUGUUGCCGCCUAUGCCGAGUAUUUGAGCGAUGGAUUACAAGUACCAAAUGAUGUACUUGAUGCUAGAUUACUCCGCAAAAAAUAUGCUGCUCUUUUAUGGAAAUAAAGAGAAGCGAAAGCUCAGAAGUCGUACGCAACCUACGUUAAAGAUCCACAACGACCAAAGUCGAAUUCCAUAGCACUGGAUGAAGAACAACUUGGCCAUAUUGAUUAGAUCUUUAUAGCUCGAGUCCGUUAAUGUAAUAACCUAUCCUCCUUGGUUUAACUUGUUGAUUUAUUUGUAGAGUAGAUUGUUUGUACUCAUAAUGAUAUUUUUUACAUUUCAUUUAUUUGUUGAGCUAUUUUAUUUCAUGUAAUUUCCAAAGGCUUCAAUUUAUUUUAUUCUGUCUAUGAAUAUAAUUAAUUCUGAGUUUUAAACAUGUUAAUUGAAAUGGAGUACUAGAUUCAAAUAUCGCAACAGAUAAUACAUCUGCUGCAACAGAUGGCAUAUCUUAUCAGACAGAUUUAGACAUAUGUUGCAACAUGAGAUGCAACACGUAGGUCAUCUGCUGGAAAUUAUAUAACAGGUCUUCCUACUUUUUUGAUUUGCUCCAACAGAUUACCGAUCAGUUGCAACUGAUAAGUUAUAUGUUGCAACAGAUCAUAAAUCUGUUGCGACAGACAGACGGGGAACAUUUGCAUAACGCAACAGAUGACCAACCUAUUCCAACAGAUAAUCAAUCUAUCACAACAUGUACUAUAUUUGUUACGACAGAUAUAAAAUUGGUUGCAUUAUAAAAAUUCAACUUUGCCAGACAUAAAAAUUACUGCCCCUAUAUGUAUAGUGAAUUGGCUUGAAAUGAAAAUUUGUUAUCGUGUUCGUCUCUAUCUUUGUACAUGUUCUUUUUUAUACACGGGCUCCAACCAUUUAGUUAGUACCCCAUAUGCCCAGACCCAUUACAUCUUUCCCACAACAGUGUCACACACACCGAUCAUUUGUGUACCGGUCAGCAAACACUCCAUGUAUGCAAGCGAGUACGGCCCGCACGCUGCACCGGUUGUAUUUUUUGGGAGCUGGAUGUUCUUAUUUCAACCUUCAAAAACCCAUGAUUCCUUCGCCAAGACUUCAGCCGACAAAUGAUCCAUCAGCUUACUCUGCGUCAACAACUUGGCCAACAACUUUAAGAGUGGCUGCAUGUGGGUUAAAAACAUCUUCUCGCUAAACACAGGUAAGUUGCAAUCAUAAACCUUAAUCUUUCCCUCGUGUAGUAGUAUCUCAACAGUGAGAAAAUGGGUGACAUCCACGUUCAUGACUGCAAGGAUUUUCUUUUCCUUGGUCCAGCUCUUGCCGUGUGGAUAUGGCCUCUUCCCUAUAACGUAUUUAAUCGCUUCUUCAUCCCAUUGGAACGUAGAAACUAACUGAUCAAAUCCCAGGCCACCAGAAUCAGCUAGAUUACAAAGACCAGAGUACCUAUCUUUAAAAUUAUUAUAGAAGUUGAGGUCCAUUAUCCUAUCAGCAACAUUAUAAGCAUCUGGGUACGCUAAUUGCCUGCCCCUCAUGAGGCAGAGAAUUUCAUCAACAUACUGUGGUAUAAGAAGAUAAUUUUUAAAUAGGUUAGUAAUUAUAAAGAAUAAGAACACAGUGGAAAGAAUCUGAUACAGAGGGUUCUCUGAAUCAGUUCACAGAUUACCCAACCAAUGCAACUUAUGCAACAGAUGUGUAUUGUGUUGCAACAGAAUACCAAGCUGUUGCAACAGAUUACACAUCAACUGCGUAGAUUCUUCUUCAUGGAGUAGAUUGGAAGGGUAGGUUAGCAAAAGUAAACUUACCUUGUCCUCGUACCACACACACAUAUUUGUCAUAUUCGAGAAGUCUUUGGCGGCAAAUGAAUGUAUGGUGUAUUCUUUUUGAACCUUCAUCUUGAUGAAUUCUUCCAGUUCCUUAUUUUUCUCCUUGACAAGCAUCGCAAAUAUUUCCUCCUUCGUCGGCGGCCCCUGAACUUCAACAACUAUGGAGCGGGGAGAGUUUCAUUUUUUGCUGAUUUCAGAACAAAUAGAAUUUGUCUAAUUUUUAUUUUCUUCCUCCUAACAUCCACUGUAGGAGUGCAUGGCUUCCUCACCUCGUUGGAUGGUAUGACACCCCUCUUGGAUUUCAACUCCCUGGCAGCUUUAGCAAUAGCCUCUAGCUUGUCGAGGAGUUUAUUCUCUCUGUCCUUGCAUACUUUGUAUUUGCAAUGAGAACAUGAGGGUGAGAAGGGGUGAGAGAGACCACUAUAAAGGUGGAAGGGACCGGUGUAGGGGUGAGAGAGAGGACCUGUGCAAAGGGUGUUUUCAAACAUAUUUAUUUUUUGCUGAGCACGAACAUGCCCAUAAUCACGACUGGCAGCAGAAGCAGAAGCAGAAGCAGGAUGGCUGCCACCAUCACGAACAACUCCACCAGCAACACCCCCAGAAGAAGCACCCGGACCUGUUGCAGUUUGAGUUAGGUUGUGAAGAGCUUCAACAUUAGACUGACCUUGCCUAACUGCUCUUUUUAUGGAUGUUGCUCCAUCCAAUUCCUUCUUUAUUAACUCCAUCGUUGGGUCUUCUUUUGUAUCAACAAGACCCAGAGUAAGAAAAGAAGUCAUCCCCAGCUCAUCAAUGGUAGUCACGAUCCAAGGAUGCACAACCUAUAAAAAAAUGACAGGAGAAAUUUAAAUCAUAUAAUAAUAAUUUGCAGUCAGUUGGGUUACAUGGGGCUGGGGUUAUGUUAACAUAGCCAACUUAUGUAACAGACGAUCUAGCUACCGCAACAGCUGAUCUGUAUGUUGAAAUAGAUUGAUAAUAUAUUAUAUCAGAAUACCCAUUUGUUGCAUAAUUUAUAGUAGAUGGGUAAUCUGUUGAGUAGGGUUCAGAGAACAAAGCAACAUAUGGUUAAUCUGUUGCGAAAUAUGGAUCGUCUGUUGCAAUAGAUUACCCAUUGCACCAGUUGCAGUUGACGGGUAAUCUCUUGCAAUAUAUGGAAUAGCUAUUUCAAUAUCUUUCUUUGAGGCAAACUAUUUUAGUUGACAGAAGACGUACUGCAUCAUUCGGAGGGUUAAAGAGAUCAGCCUCGUUAAUAUUUUUUUGCUGCUCUCUACUGCAGCCAACUACCAAAGGAUCCUUGGAUGAGAAACCUUAUCCGGGUAAAUCGUGAAAUGCUUUCGGAGGGGAGGAAUGACUUCACAUAUCCAAGGCUAAAAAUUGUAAACAGGAAGCAAGCAAAAAAAAGUCACAAGUAUAUUCAAUAUAAAUUAAUGAAUGAGUAAAAAUAGUAAUCAAUUUUACCAUGAAAGUCCAAGGAAAGCCAUAUAAUAUGGAUCGUCUUUGGCUUUAGCUCUUUCAGUAAAUAUUUGACAGUCAAGUAGUAGCUAUCGUAGCCCCAGGGAUAAUCGUUGAAUCUCCCAAAAUCAUCAGCAAGCGCCAACAAAUCACGUUCUAUGACUUUCUUGACGUCUCUUGCCAAUAACACGGAAUGGACAAACCAAACUAAACACAAUUUCUCCCUAUAGUGCUUUGGUAUGUCUUUAUUCUUGAGAUCCGCUAUGAAAUCCUUCACUUUGUAGCUAGGUCCAACAAUGCCCAACAACCCAUCUUAUUUUACCUUGCAUUUUUUGGACCCUUUGUGGGGUGUUUUCUUGAUGGCAGGUUCUUCUGGACGAUCACAUCUCAAGCCUGUCACAAUGGCAAACUCUUUCAAUCCAAAACAAAUUGGCAUGCCAUAGUAGUUGAUCCAGACUUCAUCCAUAUUAUUUCCGCCCUCCUUCGGACCUCCAUCAUCUCCCGCAUAUAUGAUCCUGUGCUUGAGAAGACCAUAUACCAUGAUUAUUAGGAAACAGAGAGGGCGGGGCCCAGACAACUCAAGAAAAUGUGCAAAGCAGCUCUUCUUGAAAAGUCCAUCUAUGUUUUCCUUCUUCAUAAUACUCCUAAGUUCGUCAAAAGGUUUCCCCAACUGACAUUUAAGUACAAGAUCACCAAAUACUGUAUUAGGGUUAUUCAUCAUCAUCGCAACUAAAAACUUGUCAAUACUAAUGGUUUUGACAGCAUCAUGCUGGAAUUUUGAUAUUAUUUCACGCCCCAUUGGUGAGGAGGAGUUAUCACUUUUCUCGGCUUUAUUUUGCCCUGACUGAGAUUGUUCUGAAAGUUCCUCCGAAUCUAUCUGUACUCUAGCCUUUUUUGUUUUGUGAUCAAAAGUUGAUCCACUUUCUCCACUUUUAUUUUUUUUCUUUUGGAAGACAUCUUUUAACUACAAACAAAAGAAAAACAAAAAAUACAUUGCAUUUGAUGUCUGCAUAAUUUUUUUUAAAAAGGUCAGACAAAUUUCAAUAAAUUAUUCUUACCACAUAACCAAAAAAAAAUACUCCAACGGACAACCCAUCAGUUGGAACAGAUAGGGACCCCGAAUCUGUUUGAAGACCUAUUUAAUAUCUCCCCACAGAUAUUCCACCUGUUACAACAUGUUGAGAAAUUUCAAUAAAUUAUUCUCUGCCACAUUACAAGAAAAUACUCCAACGGAUAACCCAUCAGUUGGAACAGAUGGGGAAUCUGUUUGAAGACCUAUUUAAUAUCUCCCAACAGAUCUUCCAACCAUUGCAACAGAUGGACCACCACCACCACAAUCAAUGCCACGACCAAUACCACCAAGACCACCACCAAUACCAACACCAAGAUCACUGACACCACUGCCAAAAAACACAAAUACCAACACCACCAACAACAGCCACCAACACCAUCACAAACACCAUCCAACAAUACCACGACAGUCAACAAAACACUGAGAGAAAAGCUAGGAUUUUCUCGGGUGCUUCCUACCUUUUUAGCAUCAAAACUCAAAAUUGUUAACCCAUUCUCGAAAAUAGUACAACCAAAAGUCUUAUUUUUUAACCAUUAACUAAAAAACCCUAUUUUUUAGAAUAAAGAACAAAUGUAGAACUCUUCUCGAACUCUGUUACAUGCUAAGAUAGAGAAAACAACGGAUACAAGCGGAAAUGAAGUAAAAAAAAUAACUAUAUGUAGUCGUAAAUGGGAAGAAAAUUGACCUGUUUUGAAGGGUUGAGCAAUAUGUUGAGCAGUGGUUGUUUGUAUUGUUUGUAUUGUUGAGAGGGAGAGAACACCCCAAGAGAGAGUGAGAGAGAAUAGUGAGAACUUACGAUUUGAAAUGAAAAGUUUUUCGCGCAAAUGGAUGAUUUGUGUGGGUUGAUUUGUAAUUUGGGAAACGAAUGACAAGUUUUAAAAUUACUAAUUUAGUCUGAAUUGAUCUUAAUUAAUUUUAAAAUUUUUAAAAGAUAUAGUUUUUAAAACAUUGAGUUGAUGAGAACUCAUUUCAACUCAGAGUGAUCGAUCGACGACUCGGGUUGGGAUGAACGCAAUACCAAUGCCAUGCAAUUGCAAAGACUCGAUUGGAUUUGUUGUUGACCCUGCAAGCUCACUCAUUCAUUCCUAGUUCCACCUAAAUUAACUUAGGUACUAUCACUAUCCUAACAUUGAGUUAAUGAGAACUCAUUUUAUCUCAAAGUGAUCGAUCGAUGACUUAGGUCAGGAUAAACGCAAUACCAACGCCAUACAAUUGCAAAGACUCGAUUGAAUUUGUAGUUGACCCUGCGAGCUCACUCAUUCAUCCCUAGUUCCACCUAAAUCAACUUAGGUACUAUCACUAUCCUAACAUUGAGUUGAUGAGAACUCAUUUCAGCUCAGAGUGAUCGAUNNNNNNNNNNNNNNNNNNNNNNNNNNNNNNNNNNNNNNNNNNNNNNNNNNNNNNNNNNNNNNNNNNNNNNNNNNNNNNNNNNNNNNNNNNNNNNNNNNNNNNNNNNNNNNNNNNNNNNNNNNNNNNNNNNNNNNNNNNNNNNNNNNNNNNNNNNNNNNNNNNNNNNNNNNNNNNNNNNNNNNNNNNNNNNNNNNNNNNNNNNNNNNNNNNNNNNNNNNNNNNNNNNNNNNNNNNNNNNNNNNNNNNNNNNNNNNNNNNNNNNNNNNNNNNNNNNNNNNNNNNNNNNNNNNNNNNNNNNNNNNNNNNNNNNNNNNNNNNNNNNNNNNNNNNNNNNNNNNNNNNNNNNNNNNNNNNNNNNNNNNNNNNNNNNNNNNNNNNNNNNNNNNNNNNNNNNNNNNNNNNNNNNNNNNNNNNNNNNNNNNNNNNNNNNNNNNNNNNNNNNNNNNNNNNNNNNNNNNNNNNNNNNNNNNNNNNNNNNNNNNNNNNNNNNNNNNNNNNNNNNNNNNNNNNNNNNNNNNNNNNNNNNNNNNNNNNNNNNNNNNNNNNNNNNNNNNNNNNNNNNNNNNNNNNNNNNNNNNNNNNNNNNNNNNNNNNNNNNNNNNNNNNNNNNNNNNNNNNNNNNNNNNNNNNNNNNNNNNNNNNNNNNNNNNNNUAAUGAAAUUAAUGAAUAUUAAUUAAUGAAUAUUUAAAACCACCACGUCUACGUACACAAUACUUCUAUAGAAAUUAUUUCAUCUCUUCCUUCAGCUGCAGUUUAUUUUAUUCAACUCUCAUUUUUUUCUCCCUUCUCUUUAGGGUCACAACCUUUUUUCUCUCUUUUAUCUUCGCUUCUCAUAAAGAUCUUUUUGGAUCUAAACCCAUCUAUAUCUUUCCCCGACUUAAAUUUUUGUUUUGAUCCCCUUUUGAUAUUAAGGUAUGGUUCAUUAUUGCUCUUUUAUUCUCGUUUUCUUCUUUGCAUGUUAUUUACAUCUUUUUUUUAUUUAAUUACUAUUUACCCAUAUUAUAUUUAUUAAUUUUUUUAAGGAACUUGUAAGUGUUGAAUAAACAAUCUGAGAAUUUUUAUUACAAUAUGAGAAAAAAAUCAUCUGUUGGGAGAAGUUUAAAAGCCUUAUUGGCAGUAUUAUUGUUUUAUUAUGUAUUUUGUUUGUUUCAUCAUUAUUGAUGCAAUUAUUGAUGUUGUUGGUGGGGUUGGCGCUAUUGGAACUUGUGGUGUUGUUGAUGGUUCUGGCACAAAGGAUGUUGCUUCUUUGUUGUUGAUGAUGUUGGUGGAACAAAUGUUGUUUCUUUUUUUGUUGAUGUUUAUGCUGUUGUUGAUGUUGCAACAGAUGGGGAAACUGUUGGAACAAAUAAAACCACCAGAAAGGCUGGUUUGAUGUAUUCCAUCAGACUCCACAUCUGUUACAACAGACUCCUCAUCUGUUGCAACAGACUCCACAUCUGUUGCAAAGAACUCCACAUCUGAUGCAACAGAUGGACAAUGUUAUUUUUGUGACAUCAAUUUUUUUCCUCUUCUUUGUAGAUAUAAGUAUAUGACAGUUGAUCAACUUUUGACGGACUAUCUCAAGAGGUUGUAGUAAAGAUGGGAUCAGAGGAAUAAACUGCUUGUAGAUGGAACCAUUUCAUAUAUGAGAGGUAUGUAUUACUGAUAAUGUUAUCAUGGAAACACACAUAGAGUGCACUGAUUUUGUGAAUGAUGUUUUUAUUGAUUAGUCAUAGAUCGUUCAAACAAGAUGUCUGCAAUUUUACAGUUAAGUUUGGUAGGUCCGAACUGAUAAGGCUGAGGGACCAUGAAUAUGGUUCUGAUAGCCUGUUAAGAUUUAAGUCGGUUGUUGCUUAUGUUUAUUUGUCAAGCAUUGUGAAAGAAUCUAAUUUUUGUGUCAUUGUAAAGAGAUUCAAUAGCGAUUGGACUAACUUUUAGGGUGCAUUGGACCCUUAGAGGGCCUUCCAAGCUUAGCACUGCAUCUAAUAAGAACAGAAAAUCAAUAUAUUUAUUGCCCUGGCCUAAAUUUAAAUGGCUGGGUUGCUCGCUCGGGGUGAUGAUUUUAUUCCAGAAUGUGUGGUAGGAGAAUGCUUUCGAAGAAAAAUGGGUGGUUGAUGGAAGACUAUAUCAUCUGAGAGCUAAUUAAAGAAGAGACAUAGGGUAGAAAGUAACUUCUAACGAAUCUGUCUGGUGGAAUUAUCUUAACAGAUGUGAGAUCUGAAUCAAGUGCAAAUAUGAAAGUGUAUCUGGUAGUGUAAUUUCAUUUAUUGUGUCUCUGAAAGAAAAGCAAUGCAGAUGGACACUUUGCUAGGGAGUUGCGUGAUCGGGAUUAUCACCUAGAUAGAAAAUAGGAAAAGACCAACAAAGAAGCCUCACGGGCAUCGAGGGUAGAAAUGAUGUACAACAAGUUUAGAAAAUUUAUGCCAACAACAACUGCAGGUUAAAUAAGGAAUCUAAGCAAAGGUUUUCUGAAUUUUAAAUUUCAUCCCACGCCUUCUUGUUUGUGUUUUCGAUCAGGUCCACUGUCGUUGACCUGAUUGGAACCACAAACGAGAUUGAAAGGCAAAUAGAGUAUCAUUGCUUCCUUAGCAAUAUGGUUAUAAUUGAUUGUGUUUUCUUGCCUUGACAUGCUUUCAAUAUUCCUAGGAUAAAUCAGAUGCUUGCUAUAGUAUGUGAAUCCCGAUAAUUUUCAAGCUUGCCUCCAGCUAGUUGAUUCUGUAUUCAAGCUGGUCGUUGCCCUCUUCGAAGUUGGUAAAGAAUUCCUCGUCUCUUGUGAGCUCGAUCAGGAACACUACCUUCAAAGUUGUGGCAUUCUAGAAGCCCUUCAGAACACUUUCUUCAGAAGCCUUAAAGGAUACAUGGAGGGUCUCUGUGUUUGUUUUAGGUCAAAAUGUGUUGAUGCACGUUGAAGAUGUGGUCCUAAAAGUUGAACAACACACUUUUAUCUAGCAUUUCUCCAUGAAUCUUGCUCAACCAAUUUGAUAAAUUAGUAAGCAUGAAGUUACGUAGCGUGUGAUCUAAAUCGGCUCUAUCAAAUGUUACGUAACUCUAAGCUCAUUACUCUAUCAAAAAAAUAUGAUUGAGUUAGUGCACAAAUCGAACGAGCUCAAUCUCUUAGCCUUUCUGCUGAUUGCUCUUCUCCAAUAUAGAUGACAAGAUAUCUGCUAUGGAAAAGUCUACACCGUCGUCAGACAUAAUCCCAGGCAAUCAUGUCUGGCGAUGGUGUAGACUUUUGCAUAGAAGAUAUCUUGUCAUCUAUAUUGGAGAAAAGUGAUCAGCAGAAAGUCUGACAGAUUGGGCUUUUUUUCUAUAUGCACUAACUCGGGCAUAUUGUUUUGAUAGGGUAAUGAGCUUGAAGUUAUGUAACAUUUGAUAGGCUUGGUAGAGCCAGUUUAAAUCACAUGCUACGCAACUCCAUGCUUACUAAUUUAUCAAAUUGGUUGAGCAAGAUGCAUGGAGCAACGCUCAAUAAAAGUGUGUUGUUCAACUGUUGGAACCACAUCUUCAACGUGCAUCAACACAUUUUGACCUAAAACAAACAUAACGACCCUUCAUGUAUCCUUUAAAGCUUCUGAAGAGAAAGUGUUCUGAAGGGCUUCUAGAAUGCCACAACUUUAAAGGUAGUGUUCCUGAUUGAGCUCACAAGAGACGAGGAACUCCUUACCAACCUCGAAGACGCUAACGGCCAGCUUGAAUACAGAAUUAAAAAGCUGGAGGCAAGCUUGAAAAUUAUCGGAAUUUACAUACUACAGCAAACAUCUGAUCUUCUCCAAGGAAUAUUGAAAGUAUGUCAAGGCAAGAAAACACAAUCAAUUAUAACCAUAUUGCUAAGGAAGCAAUGAUACUCUAUUUGCCUUUCAAUCUCGUUUGUGGUUCCGAUUAGGUCAACGAAAGUAGACCUGAUCAGAAACACAAACAAGAAGAUGGGAUGAAAUUUAAAAUUCAGAAAUUGCCGCCUUCGCUUAGUUUCCUUAUUUUCACUGCAGUUGUUUGUGUACGUUUUCUAGACUUACUGAACAUCAUUUCUACCCUCGAUGCUCAUGAGGCUGCUUUGUUGGUCUUCUUUUAUUUUCUACCUAGGUGAUAAUCCCGACCAUGCAGCUCCCUAGCAAAGUGUCUAUCUGCAUUGUUUUUUUCCAGAGACACAACAGACGAAAUUACAUUACCGGAUACACUUUCAUAUUUGCACUUUAUUCAGAUUUCGCAUCUGUUAAGAUAAUUCCAUCGGCCAGAUUUGUUAAAAGUUACUUUCUACCCUGUGUCUCUUCUUCAAUUAGCUCUCAGAUGAUAUAGUCUUCCAUAAACAACCCAUUUUCCCUCGAAAGCAUUCUCUUACCACACCUUCUGGCAUAUAAUCAUCAACCCGAGUGAGCAACCCAACCAUAUAAAUUUUGGCCAGGGCAAUAACUAUACUGGUUUUCCAUUCUUGUUUGAUGCAGUGCGAGGCUUCGAGGGCCCUCUAAGGGUCCAAUGCACACUUAAAGUUAAGUCCAAUCGCUAUUGGUUCUCUGCAGUGACAAUAAAUAUUGAUCCCUUCUCAAGACUUGACCUGCAUAAACACGAGCACCAACCGUCAGUAAUUCGUAACAGGGUAUCUACACCAUCUUCAUGAGGUCCUCAGCCUUAUCAAUUUUGAACCCAUCAAACUUAACAGUACAAUGCAGGAUCUUGUUUGAAUGAUCAAUGCCUAAUCGGUUAAAAACUGUAUUCACAAAAAUAUUGUACUUUGUGUGUGUUGUCCCGGUAACCUUAUCAAUAAUUCAUACUUAACUCCCGCACAUAUGAUAGUGGAUCCAUCUGCACGNNNNNNNNNNNNNNNNNNNNNNNNNNNNNNNNNNNNNNNNNNNNNNNNNNNNNNNNNNNNNNNNNNNNNNNNNNNNNNNNNNNNNNNNNNNNNNNNNNNNNNNNNNNNNNNNNNNNNNNNNNNNNNNNNNNNNNNNNNNNNNNNNNNNNNNNNNNNNNNNNNNNNNNNNNNNNNNNNNNNNNNNNNNNNNNNNNNNNNNNNNNNNNNNNNNNNNNNNNNNNNNNNNNNNNNNNNNNNNNNNNNNNNNNNNNNNNNNNNNNNNNNNNNNNNNNNNNNNNNNNNNNNNNNNNNNNNNNNNNNNNNNNNNNNNNNNNNNNNNNNNNNNNNNNNNNNNNNNNNNNNNNNNNNNNNNNNNNNNNNNNNNNNNNNNNNNNNNNNNNNNNNNNNNNNNNNNNNNNNNNNNNNNNNNNNNNNNNNNNNNNNNNNNNNNNNNNNNNNNNNNNNNNNNNNNNNNNNNNNNNNNNNNNNNNNNNNNNNNNNNNNNNNNNNNNNNNNNNNNNNNNNNNNNNNNNNNNNNNNNNNNNNNNNNNNNNNNNNNNNNNNNNNNNNNNNNNNNNNNNNNNNNNNNNNNNNNNNNNNNNNNNNNNNNNNNNNNNNNNNNNNNNNNNNNNNNNNNNNNNNNNNNNNNNNNNNNNNNNNNNNNNNNNNNNNNNNNNNNNNNNNNNNNNNNNNNNNNNNNNNNNNNNNNNNNNNNNNNNNNNNNNNNNNNNNNNNNNNNNNNNNNNNNNNNNNNNNNNNNNNNNNNNNNNNNNNNNNNNNNNNNNNNNNNNNNNNNNNNNNNNNNNNNNNNNNNNNNNNNNNNNNNNNNNNNNNNNNNNNNNNNNNNNNNNNNNNNNNNNNNNNNNNNNNNNNNNNNNNNNNNNNNNNNNNNNNNNNNNNNNNNNNNNNNNNNNNNNNNNNNNNNNNNNNNNNNNNNNNNNNNNNNNNNNNNNNNNNNNNNNNNNNNNNNNNNNNNNNNNNNNNNNNNNNNNNNNNNNNNNNNNNNNNNNNNNNNNNNNNNNNNNNNNNNNNNNNNNNNNNNNNNNNNNNNNNNNNNNNNNNNNNNNNNNNNNNNNNNNNNNNNNNNNNNNNNNNNNNNNNNNNNNNNNNNNNNNNNNNNNNNNNNNNNNNNNNNNNNNNNNNNNNNNNNNNNNNNNNNNNNNNNNNNNNNNNNNNNNNNNNNNNNNNNNNNNNNNNNNNNNNNNNNNNNNNNNNNNNNNNNNNNNNNNNNNNNNNNNNNNNNNNNNNNNNNNNNNNNNNNNNNNNNNNNNNNNNNNNNNNNNNNNNNNNNNNNNNNNNNNNNNNNNNNNNNNNNNNNNNNNNNNNNNNNNNNNNNNNNNNNNNNNNNNNNNNNNNNNNNNNNNNNNNNNNNNNNNNNNNNNNNNNNNNNNNNNNNNNCAACAGAUAUGUUAUCUGAUGCAACAUAUUUUAUAUUUGUUGCAACAGAUAAUAUAUCUGUUGUCACAGAUGUGUUAUCUGAUGCAACAGAUAUAGAAUCUGUUGCCACAACUCAAUAAAAACGGUUCUUUGAAAGACUAAUUAAUAAUAAUAAUCUGAAAAGUCAUGACUUAUAUCACCAUAUUUAUUUUCUUAAUUUAAUAAAAAAUUUAAUUAAUGUGUAGAGGUGAAUAGUCGCGCCUUUUUGCUUCUCAUUCAAAUUCAAUCCUCUAUAAAUAGGUCCAUCCUUACUUAAUUGUUCAUUCAAAUACACACUCUAUUUAUUUAUUGCAUCUCGUCUUUCAUAUUACACUCUAGAAGAUAAGAUUAUGGCUGACCCAGUAUGGGACGUUGCUUUUCUGCAAGACGCUGUGAAUGAACUUCGAAAUCUACUUCGUGAUCUGCAAUGGGAAUUGGGAGGAGUUAGAUCAAGAAUGCUCCACGAGAUACGCAGGCUGAGGAAGGCCUUGCUACUUCCGGUUGAAGAUUGGUCGGCUGGCAAUGAUGAUGCUGAUAAUAAUAAUAAUAAUAAUAAUAAUAAUAAUUGUGUUGUUUCAAACAGAUUAAUCAUUCAUUGCAACAGAUAAUUAGUCUGGUGCAACAGAUAAACAUUUUGAUGCAACAAAUAAUUAGUCUGGUGCAACAGAUAAACAUUUUGAUGCAACAAAUAAUACUUCUGAUGCAACAGAUAGUACGAUGGUGCAACAAAUAAAUAGUUUGAUGCAACAGAUUACUCAUCUGAUACACUAGAUGAUUGAUCUGUUUAAAUUAUGGCAUUUGUGCUGGAUUCAUAAUCGGGGUUCUAUCUAUUGUUGGAAAAACAGAAGUGUACCCAGAUGACAAAUACGAAUAAAAAUCAUAAUUUUACUUACCAAAGUAACCUAUGAAGUAAUGCCAAAGUGGACAGUGAUGUAGUAAAUAAAAUUUGACCUAAGAAAUUGGUCAGAUCGCAGCAGUAGCGUUGUACCAACAACAACAACACCAACAAAUGGUCGACAAGAAGAAGAUGAAGCAGAAGAUGAUGAAUAAAGCAGUAGAAACAGAAACAAUUAACAACAAAAAUCGCUAAGAGAGAGAAAACAAUAAUGGAUGAGAAGAGAGAGAAAGACGCCUUUUUUUUCCUCCUUUCCCGUUAUUUUAGGUAUACAUUAGGAUUAAAGUGUAAAUUUAAAAACUUAUGGGUUAUUUUAAAACUUUUCCAACUUUCUUAAUACAUAAUAAAAUAAUUGUCACCUCCAACUAAUAAUUAAGAUUUGUGUCUCCUACAUCUCAUUUUAAAACUCUUUUUUCACCUGUGGCCCAAACCCCCAGGUCACUUGACUAAAGCAUAGUAAAUCUUAUAAUGUUUUUAUUAUAAUUUUCUUUGUAGUCUUAUUUUGUGAAUAUUUGUAAUGUAAGCGCCACAUAACGUCAUGUUAUUUCAACUUCAAGUUCAACAAUUUCCUAGAUUUAUGAAUAUAUUUUUGAUCUUUGAACUUUAAGAAUUAGAGUUGUAAUUUUUUGAAUGAAUCUUCAAUUUUGUGAUUUUCAUAUUUGUUUUCUUGUGGAAAAAAAUAUUUAUAUUUGUAUGUGCUUGGUUAAUAGAACGACUGAAAUUUUUUAUAGGUAUGGACAUGUAUUAAAUUAUAAUAUAUGUUAAUACCUCAUGCAAAGGAUUAUGAGGCCAAUUUUGACUUUUUGUUUUUACAGGUUAGAAAAAUUUCCUGUUAGUUUGAGUUUAAAUUGUUAAGUUGCUACUCAAUUACUCAUAUUCAUCAUUUACAUGAAAUUGCUAUGUUGAAGAAUGCAUCAAAAAAAUUAAUUUAAAUAAUAAAAAAGAUUUAAAUAAAAAAUUAAUUAAUUAUAAAGUCCUAGAUUAACUAACGUGAAAGACACUGUGGUUACAUAAUGCAUUAAAUUAAGUAUAUAUUUGAAAAUACCUUAGGUCCAAGGAUGAGUGAUUGGAUUAAAAUAAAUCUAACAAACAAAACGAGGUUUAACUUCUACUACUUUUAAAACCUAAAGAAUGUAAUUUUGUUCUAAAAGUAUUUUUGAGAAAAAUACAUUUAAAAACUUAGUGAAAUACUAAUAGUUGCUUUAAAGUGAUUGCUAAAUUUAUUAGUUAAAUACAAACUUUUUCUUUCCAAAAGAUAGACAUGGAAGUGAUUUUAUAAAAUUGAACUCAUUGAAAUAAAGUACAAGCGCGGAGCGCAUAUACCAAGACUAGUAUGUUAAAUAUAUACGUCUAUAGAAGAUAUAUAUACACAUAUAUAAAUUAAUCAUCCUUGAUAGUAAAUUAAUAAUAUAUUAAAACUAAGUUAUAAUUAAAUUCAUUAAAAAAAAAAAAAGCUUAAUCGGGCCGGGCAGAUUAAUUGGCGGGUCGUGCCCGGGCUUAGUCCGGGUCGGAUUAACCGGACCCAACCAAAAAAAUAAACCAAUCCGGUACCCGAUACCCUACAGCCCAACCGGGCCAGGUCAAACCGAGCCAGAUUUGUAAGUGGGCCGGGCUAGGCCGAGUCAGCCCGGCUCAUUUGACAGGCUUAUUAUAGGUACAUUGAAUAUGACAUCUCACAAAAUAUGCCAUCAAAUAUGAGUUAAAUUGCUAGGUUUUGAUCUUCCUUGUUAACUCGUAUAAAAUACAGUUUGAUGUACUAAAGUUUUCGCUAUGCGCAAAAUUUGGAGAAGAGCCCCACCACAAAGGUGUAUUGUACGCGGCCUUACCUUGCAUUUUCUCUUCAGUAUUGCCUCAUUAAAUUUUAUUUAAACUAUUUUCAAGGCUUAACCUUAAGAAUUGAAAGUGAUAACGAAGUUGUUGAGCAACUCUAUUCGCUCUUAUUCUUUCAUAUGUCUCUAUGAAUUGACAUGUUUAUUCUCAUCUCAAAUCAUGCUGCAGCAAAUACAAAAAAAAUAUGAUUACGUUAACUGCUAAGUGAUAAUUGGUUAUUUAAAUUAUUCUGGAUUACUAUUAUACUUAAGAGGAUAACUACUAUCUUCUUAUUAUAUAUAUCAUUGUAUUGUAAACCAAAUAUUUAUCAAGAAAUAUAUUGUUUCAUGGUAUCACAUGCUAGGUUUUCUCUGCUAUUGAAUUAUGACUUCCAAUACCUCAAUUAAUGGUUCCCUCCCACACAACAAAAUAUAUCUGUAGUUACGAAAUCUAAGCUAUGAACUUUAAAUUCGUACCUAUUAUCCAGUUUCGUAGGUAUUUAUAAAUUCGUAAACUUUCUUAGCCACGAAAAUCAAAUUGCCAAAGCUAAUCUCUCAUUUCUGCUACAAUUACUAAAAAUCGUGGAAACAGUUACCCAAAAUAAGUAGAUAUAAAUUUAUUGCUAUAGUAAAAUUUUGUAGCUGAUGAUAAGUUUUUGCCAUGCGAUAAUACAAUCGUGGUAAUUUGCCAAAUCGCGCAGUGUCUUCCACCGUAGCCACAUUUGCUACCUAUGUAGGUAAUAAUACAAAGGCAUGCCAAUUCAAUAGAAUUUCAAGGUUGAUCAACAAGACAUGUUGUAAACAGUUACAAGCCUUGACAUGUAUAGGGACUUCAACAUAAUUCAGUAAUUUAGACCUUUGUUAUGAGGAGAAUGACAUCUCAGCUGAAUAGUUGGUUAAACAACAUUCUAAAAUUUAGAUUACGGUGGAUCAAAGAAACUGAAGCAAUCCCAUUACAAUCGCGUACCAUGACAACACUCGGCCGGAUUGAUCCUCCAAAUCCAGCUCUUUUAGCAGUCUGGAAAGGAGAGGGGUGAGGCGGGCGAGAUCAAUAUAUAGCAAAAUGAGCAAUGCAACAUCCAAUUUCAUUGAAGGAGAACCUUGGAGGGACUGGUAAAGUUGCUGUCAUGUGACCAGGAGGUCACAGGUUCAAGCCUUGGAAACAGACUCGGGCAGAAAUGUAAAGUAAGGCUGCGUACAAUACACCCUUAUGGUGGGACCCUGAGGAUAGAGGGAGCUUUAGUGCACCGGGAUAUCCUUUUAACAUCUAAUCUUAUGUAAAACUUUGCAUAACUUAUGUAGAGUUUUAAGUAAUCAGAAGUUGAAUACUUGAUGCAAAACAAUGUAUUAAUUAUUCGGAGAUCAUAUCAGUUAUGCAGGUUUUAUACGAAACACAAACGUUGGACAAGUAAUGCAAAUUUUAAUGGACGCUAGAGUUUCUUAUACUUCAAACAAUAUGUCCUCUGACAGUUUAAGGAGUACUACUGUCUAGGAAGAUGCAAUCUUUGUUUAGUGGAUUCAAUUAGACUAAAGUAUUUUCCCACACGAAACUCAGGGAAGUGAAAGGCAUACCAAUCAGUGUCUCCGAGAAUGAAAGGACAAGUCACCAUUGUGUAUGAUUCCAUGUCUCCAGAUUAAAAUCGCCUCAGUUCACCAAUCUGAGUAUGAAAACAUCUGGAGUCUUGUAAGCUCAAGUUCAUCAAUCUCUGCUAUCGUUGUUAUCACUACCUUCCCUGACGAAUCAAAGCGCGUACAAAAUUAUAUUUGGCAACUUGAGGUACACGGAAAUAGGUUUCAAUGGUGUAUAAAAAGAUGGUUUUAUUUAUUAGUAAGAACAGGAAACAAAUACGAAAUUCAGAUUGAGAGUACAACACAACCUCGUGAAAUGCCAUUUGAGAAAGUGAGGCAAAUGUAGCUGAUUUUCUUUACCUUUCACCUAAGCCGUGUCCUGAAAAACUGGCGAGUUAUAUUUAGUCGCAUUAUCUUCUCCUUGUUUUUCCGAUAUUUUCACGAUACUCAAAUGCAAAAACAUUAUCACGAUGAUCUAUACAAAUUAUAUGUGUAUCUCUUGAAACUACCUUUCAGUUUCCUCCUUUUUGCCAUGUCCCUUGAAAUACCUGUAAAGAUAUGGCAUCCGAGCCUAACUCAACCCCAAAAGCAUUGCUCACGAAUGCUGCACAUGUUGUAAAACAUGUGAGAAUCUUAAGGCCGUCAGUUUGCCAAGCUUGGCGAUGGAGGUAGGUGGUUGGGAGAUCGCAGUUUCUGUCGCGUAAAGUAUCUCUAACUCUUGCAUAUCGCCGAUGUUUUCUGGAAGCUUCUCUAGCUUCUUGCAUCCACGGAGACAAAGAAAUUGAAGAUUCAUCAAGUUACAAAGGCUGUUUGGUAGACUUACAAGAUCUUCACAACCAUUCAGAUUGAGGUGAAAGAGGCCGCUCAGAUUCCCUAUGGACGAAGGCAGUUCUCUUAUCCCAGUAGAAUUCAGAGUCAGCCUUAUCAAGCAAUGCAUAUCUCCAUUGAUUUCUGGAAAUGUAUCUAAUUUUGGGCAAUUACAUAGACUGAUCAGUUGAAGGGAUUCCAUCUGAAUGUAGCUCGGAAGCUUCUUUAAGUUCUCACAUCCAAGUAUCGCUAACCGAAAGAGCUUCUUUUGAACUCCGAGAGAUGUUGGAAUCUCUACCAAUCCGGAACAUCGAAUUAUGGAAAGCUCUUCUAGUUGUUGUGAUUCAAAGACGCUGUUUGGCAGCGUUGCAAGUUUAUUGCAACCUUCAAUAUAGAGUGACUCAAGAUUUCGACUAGCGUCUGGAAUACUUUGAAGAACUUCACCACCUCUCAAUUUCAUAAAAUUAAGGGCGCUGAGAGAUGGGGGUAAGCUUCUUAUCCAGGGGAAUCCUACACCUAGUUUUGAUAAGCGCGGCAUAUCUCCACAGAUUUCUGGAAAUUCUUCUAAGCUUGUGCAUUCGUCAAGUGAGAGAGUCUCAAGAGAUUCCAUGGUAACAAAUUUUGGAAGCUUCUUAAGUUUGACACAACCAUACAAAAUCAAAGAAGUAAGCAUUUUGCAAUGCCCAAUAGAGGGAUGGACCUCUUCCAAAUUCUCACAGUGCCAUAAAUUUAGUGUCUCCAAGAUUGGCAUAUCGCCAAAAUUAGGCGUUUUUGUUAACUUGAGGCUGUCCCUGAGAUCCAAAUGCUUCAAGUUGCUCAAUUUCUGUUUACAUAAAAAAAAUUAAUUAAUACCAGUUAGCUUUAGUAGUAGUACUCCUAAUAGAUUCAAGGCUGUAGCAAAUGUGGAAAACAGCUUUGUUAUGUUUAACAUGAUGUAAAUUGUGUAUAUCAAAGCAUUUGAACCAUGGGGUGAUUAAUUCACAUGCAUUAACCUAUCAAAUAUAAACAUUGGAGUUAAGUUUUGGAGAGAAAGAUAUCACUCUACCUUUCGUAUUGGCCAAAGUUCAACAAGACGACUUCUAUGUAAACAAAGCCCAACGAGGUGUGAUGAGUCAAACCCCUCCGGCAAUGAACUUGAAGGAUAGUCCGGCCAUUCAAUCCACCGCAGGCUAGAAGGAAGACAAGUGAUAAUGCCUUCUGAGCAAAUGGUUUGAUUAUCAAAUAUCAGCACCUGUAAGCUUUCCAUCUUCUUGAAUACCUUGCCAUAAUUUACAUGAUCAUCUUCAAAACGAUAACCUUUUGGAAUCCGUAGCCUUUCCACCUUUUUUGUUUUCUGUAAAGAAAGUAACGUAUUUUUAUUUACCAAGGAACUAAAAAAGAAAUGAAGUAGAAAACUCAACAUAACAAAUACACAAUACUAAAAGCUUCCUAAAAUUAUCAAUUUUUCAGUUUAUGAUAUUUCUUACCAACUUUCCAGCGAAAAGGUCAUGAACCUCCUUAGGAAGCCAUAUUCUGCUGUUUCUGUACUCUUCUCUCAACACAUUUUCACCGAUUUCUCUUAUCAAAUUAUGCAUAUUAAAGUAGUUGUACUCAUAGCUACUGACGGAUAAGAGAGAUUUUUCGAUGAGGCGGCUUAUUCCUACCAUGUGAAUACCACAACUCUUAAGUAUUUGUUCCACAUAAUAUACUGGUCUAUUGUUGUACAAGCUUGCGAUAUCUAGAAAUAUCCUCAUCUCGUCUUUUUUCAAUCCAUCAAGACCAAUCUUAAGUUUUCCUAGAAUGUCAUCAUUAGGGAUCUCCUUCAGUCUAUCAAUUAUGUCUCUCCAUAGCCCUUUAUUUCGUCCGUAAACAGAAGAACCCAAAACUUUAAGAGCUAAAGGGAGUCCGCCGGCAUACUCCACCACUUGUCUUGAAAGUUCCAUAAAAUCUUCUUUUGGUGUUUUUUCCUUAAAAGCAUGCCUGCUGGACAAUUCAAGUGCUUCGUCCUCAGAUAAUAGUUGGACUUCAUACACGUUAUCCCCAACGUGACUGAUUAGCAGGUGCCUGUCUCUUGCUGUCAAGAUAAUUCUGCUACCCUUACCAAACCAUUCUUUCCCUCCAACUAAAUAUUCCAACUGUUCUCGAUGGUUUACAUCAUCAAGAAUGAACAAAACUUUCUUCCAGCGAAGCAUAUUCUUUAAAAUAAUCAUCCCUUCAUGUUCACUAGUUAGGGUCAUCUUUUCACCCAAGAGCUUGCGAGUGACGACUUGCUCUAGCCAUGUUAGUCCAUUUCUCUGAUAAAGUGUUCCGACAUCACCAAGAAAACAAU